rnacentral:lncRNA from 1 species
ACUAAUAUAAGUGAACAUAGGAUAAAAAAAAAUAUACUAAAAAAAUUAAGAAAAUAAUAUAAUGACUUUUUUUUUUUUUCUUGGUACAUUCUUUUUGCAUAGGAGAGAGCUAGUGAAAGUCGGUAACGCCCUUGAGCCAAUUGACGACAUCUUAAUUUUUCUAAUUAAGUUUUCCUUCGCACGUGCUUUUGACGUGCGCUCCACGGAACCGUAGUUUAAUUUAAGUACGACUACGGUAUAUCUGACGUAUCUGGUCAAAACCCUACGUCGUCUUUUUAUAACCCCCGACUCUUUUCUCCUCUCUCUCUCUCUCUCUCUCUCUCUCUCUCUCUCGCUCUCGCUCUCGCCCAACCCUCCGAAGCCGAAGCGAGAGCAAUGGAGUGCGGCAUCCUCCUCCCACGUCUCCGCCCCAACCAUGGCGCCCCCCUCUCCUCCCCUAUCCCCUCCGCCUCUCUCGUCCCCGAUCGAAGGCGCCUCCUCGUCCCCUCCUCCCCGCUCCUCAAGGUCCCUCUUGAUCUCUCUCAUACUUAUGUUCUCGGUUUUGCGUUGUUUACGCUCUCUCAAUCGAUUAUUUGGUAUUUUUGUUGGCGAUUUUUGAGUUAAAAGAUUGCUUUUUUUUGGCAUUUAAGCCCCCCUUUUGGAACCAUUCAUCGCGAUUAUUGGUUUUGUUUCAUGAGAAGUUGUUGGGAGUCGGAUCGGGGAUUUAGUAAAACCCUGAAUGCAUCUCUCUCUCUCUCUCUCAUAUUCGUAGCUAUCUUAUCGAGAUCUAUUGUUUAUCCUCUCCCAAUUGAUUCUUUGCUCUCCUUUUCUUUGAGAUUUCGAGUUCAAGAUUGCUUCUUGGUGCCAUUUAAGCCCUCUUUUCGGAACCAUUCAUUGCAAGUAUAAUUUUAUUUAUUUUCUUACGCCCUUUGAGGAAUCUAAGUUGUUAGGAGUUUGGAAUGGGGCGAUUGUAAAACCCAAAAUGCAUAUUUACUUCUUGGAUUCGAAUGUUCAUCAAGGGCUUCGUUUGGAGGCUGGAACAGGAUGUUCUAAUGUACACCUGACUACAAGUCGGAUGCUUUGGGAAAAAUAUGCUGGCGGAUGUGAAAGGAAAGGAAUUUGCGCCAAUAUAUAUAUUUUCUUUUGGGAGCGGUGAGAAGUGCUCAUUGGUUGUGGAUUUUAUUUUCAAAUUGAUAUGUUCAAUCCCAGAUCACAGGGUAAAACUUAGUGUCUCCUGUUCUUGACCUGUUCUUGACCUCGAGCCUCGAGGAAGUGUGUGGGAAAAGAAAGCUGUGAUAAGCAAAGGUGAUAAUUGUCUCUAAUGAAGGUUCAGCAUUGUUCUAUGUUUCAGUAAGCAGUGUGGGCUUUCUUGAUUAUUCUUUUGUUUCUUCUAGAAUCCAUGUAUCACUUUUCCUUUAUCAUUUAUCAGUUAAAGAUAGGAGUGCAGUAAAAGAUUAUUGUAUCUGUGUGAAGGAAAGAUGAAGUUCUUUAAAUGUGAGCAUUGUUAGCAGAUGAGGUUGAUAAUGUGGUUAGUGCAUAUGCACAAUUAAUAGGAUUAGAUUAUACCUGAAGUAAUAAUUUUGGAAUUGAAUGAACGGGAAUAAGGACUUCCCUUUAGUAUCAGACAAGAUUUUGUCAUUAUUGGCUGGGAUUUGAACAGUAUGUAGGGAAGACGGUGGAACAUUUGAAAAGGUUAAAAUGUAAUGGUUUUGAAUAUAAAAAUGAAGCAAAAGAGGUCAUUAUGAAACUUAAGCAAACUAUGAGGGCCAAGAUUGUGUGCUUGCCGACUUCGAAUGGCUUUUGAUGAAACUUAUGAGGCAUAUUAAGUACAGGCUUAAGGUAUAUGCUGCUAAUGGCAUCAGUUGUUGGGCAUGAUUAGGAUAGGGGGAAUGUCCUUAGACUUGUGGGGAGGAACAUUCUGACCUAAUGAAUUUUGCAAUAUGGCACAUUUACCAUACAAUGAAGAUUAGACUUUCUCUACCUCUUUUGCUCACCAUUUUCUACUGUACAUUUUUUUUUUCCAGUUGUUGAGAGAUGAUUAUGCAAAGAUAUGUACAACUCGGUUAAGAAUAUGUGGCUAAAUCCUACAGUGCUGACUGAGUUCAUACUCCAAAAAAACAGAAUUUAGGUGGUCAAAGUAUGUUCGUUAUGCAGAAGAAUUAAUAUUUAUUGCAUAUUUUGCAGAUUCAAAGUCAACUUCAUCCCAGGUUGUCUCUUUCUUUAGAGGCUCCUAGCGCAACAAGAUGUGAAGCUGCUGUAGCAAGUACCUACCAGUAUGCAUUCGAGCACUGUUCUCUCAUGUUAUGUGCCAUUAUUUGUGCAAUCUUGCUAUUUUCUUUGCUUUUUUUUUUUCGUUAUUUUUGCUGUAGUAUAGUUUUCAAUGGACUCUUUGCAAUUGUGAGGUACUCUCUCUUAUUCUAUCUAGAACAGUUUUUGAUACUGUAGUGAUGAUCACCAAAUUAUUUGAAAGUAUACAUGGUAAUUUAUCAUCACAAUCAUCUUGUGCUUAGUUUUGGUUAUUUUUAUAUUUACUCAUUUGUACCUUAAGUUGUUCAACAUAUUAUUCCUAAAUUCAGUAUCAGUUGGUAUGAAUUUAGAUGCAAGUUUCAAAUUUUAGACGGAUAUCUGAAUGAAGGAUUUGAGAAGAGAGAACAAGAAUGUGUGGCAUAAACUACAGAACAAGUUCGCAAUCAUAAUUUUGUUCUCUAGCGUGACCAAGUGCCAACAAAUUGACUAUAUUGCCUUUAUAUUAUAUCCAAAUUAAUGCGGCAUCUAACCUUACAUUUGAUAUGAAGUAUUUCGAGGGGCUUCCUCUAGCAGAAGAAGUUCCUUCUUUUCUUUUUUCCAAUUAACCAUGUCUAAAAUUGCUAUUCAUUGAACAUCGGAAAAUCGUGAUAUAAAAGUAAGAGAAGGGAUUGACCAACCUGGCCUGCUAAUUUAUUUGUUGAUUUGAUUAAAAAUCCGCUUUUUAGUCUUGCUUAGAUGAUAAUAUAAGUUUUAUGGCUUGGUGAUAUUUAGGAAAAGAAAUUUGAUUGUACAACUUGCUGCUUUUAUUUAGUAGGGGUACCCCAGUUUUCCUCUUUUUUAAUAUGUAUCAGUAUAAACUCAAUUUUGUCAAGUUAUUUUUCUGUCUGGAGGAUGGAGUUGGUUGUGUUUCUACGGUUUAUCUGAAUGCUUUGAUUGUGAAGUUGCGGGUUUAUGCGAAAAUUUGAUUUUUCCUCAAGUGAUAAGUUUAAGCUUUUCCUUUAUUUCUUUUUUCUUUGAGUCGGUUAUAUUUAUAAAGGGAAAUAUGAUACUUACAUGUGAGAGGGGAGAUUCAGGACUCAGGAGACUAGUUGCUUAUACCUUUUUUUUGGAGGGGGGUGGGGGUCUUUAAAGUUUAUCGUUACUUUUUAUCAAACAUUGAUGAUAACUCAUAUGGUUUAUCAGGGAAACUUCUGGUACUGUUGAUUUAGAUUGGGAUAAUCUUGGAUUUGGACUGGUGCCAACUGAUUUUAUGUAUGUUAUGAAGUGCUCUUCUGAUGGAAAAUUCACCGGAGGUGAAUUGAAGCAUUUUGGGCCUAUUGAGCUGAGCCCAUCUUCUGGAGUCCUAAAUUACGGGCAGGUUAGUGAGGGCUAAAAGUUUUAUUCUUGUAAGGUUGCCUCAUGUAUUGUUAGUAUUUUUUAUCAUAAUCUUCUUCUUUUACUAGAGCAUAUCCAUAAUAAAGGCUCAGUUAGAUCUAAAGGUUGUGAUGCCCGUUUGAAGAUGCCUUAUCGACAUGAGUCAUUUAUCUUCUGCUGUUUGAGUGUGAUUAGAGACCUGCAUCUAUCUCAACACUUGAAGUCAAAGAGCUUAGUUUACAUUGAGGAACUGGUGCCUUUUUUGGGACUAUCUAAAACUUGCAUGCAAUCUCUGCUGUUAUCUUCCCUCGUAUUUUAAAAUGAUAGCAUGCCACAUUCUUUAGAGUACAUAGUGUAUUUAAAUGUUGAUAGAUUUUUGGGAAUUAGAGAAUGCAAUCUCAAGGAUUUGUGGUACCUGCUGCUACUGCAUUUGAGGAUGAUAGUUGUACAGCUUCUUUAUUCAUACGAAAUUCUGCAUUGUUUCUCUUAGAUUACUGUUCCAACUUCUCAGAGAAAUACAAUUCUUUCGACUUUUUAGGGGUUGUUUGAAGGUUUAAAAGCAUAUAGGAAAGAGGAUGGAUCAAUUUUACUAUUUCGCCCUGAGGAAAAUGCUUUGCGUUUGAGAAUGGGUGCAGAGCGGAUGUGUAUGCCGGCACCCACCGUCCAGCAAUUUGUUGAUGCCGUAAAGCUAACUGUUCUGGCAAAUAGGCGAUGGGUAAGCUAGUUUGUGUUAAAUUCCAAAUUCCACAGUGCUACUAUGCAAGUCUGACUCGUCAAUACAAGAAUCAAUGUUUCCAAUGCAGGUACCACCUACUGGUAAAGGUUCCUUGUAUAUUAGACCGCUACUUAUGGGAAGUGGGGCUGUUCUUGGCCUUGCACCUGCUCCUGAGUAUACAUUUCUUAUUUUUGUAUCUCCUGUUGGGACCUAUUUCAAGGUUGGUUUAAAUUAUUUGUCAUGUUUCUUCUGUUGAACGUUUGCUUUUGGCCCCUUUCUCUUAGCAGUAGAGUUAUGACAGUUAUUAUGGUGGAAUAGUCAUGAUGAAAUGUGCAAUCUAGCAUGUCAAACAUGUCAGGGUGAAAAAAAUCAGUGCUAUUUGUAUGCCAGGGGUUAUUAAUGCUCUUGGACCUGUCUCCUCUCUUGCUGUUUCAAAUGCAUUCUACUCCCAUUCUGAUAGUGUUUUGCUAGCUUUCUACAACUUUCAUCUCCAACAGCUUUUUGUGGUGCCACAUAGAAUUAUAAACAAAAUCAACUUAUCAAGUAAUGAUUGACUGAUUACAUACUGUUUCUCUUACAGUCUUAAAGAAUAUGCUUCAUGUAUGAUAAUUCUCCUUGGCAGAUUUGGGAUCUAAAUUUUAGCAUUAGUUUGGAGCAAAAUCUUUUGUUAUCCUAAAUUUGUCUGAGAGCCGCGGACUCUUAACUUCUAUGAAUAAUACAAUAAAGGUAAACAUUGGUCGCAUUUACAUCGUUGAACGCGGGUAGACCAUCUGUUAAUGUCUUUGAUAAUAUUACUGUGGGGGCCACCUGACAGUUCUAACCCAUCCCUCAAAGAUGGAUCUGUUCAUUGAAAGAUGAUACAUACAAUCCUACCCAGAAUGAUUGACCUUGAAAUUAAGUUUCACCUCCAAUGCAUUGAUUAGCCACUUUCUUUUUGGUUCCCUUAUAUCAACGUUAUUGUUUUCACUAUUAUCUGCAAUAGUUACUUGUCUUAUUUAUUUCCUCUGGCUGCUUAAUAAUUAGUUUAUUUGCUCAUGAACUAUUGGGAUUUAGUGACACUUAGAUUGAAGAUUAGAGAGUGACAUUUGCUUAUCUGUAUAAUUCAGGAGGGCUUAGCGCCAAUAAAUUUGAUAGUUGAACACGAUUUCCAUCGGGCAACCCGUGGUGGCACUGGCGGAGUGAAGACUAUUGGAAAUUAUGCUUCGGUAAAUGAAAAUUAUUAUUAUUAUUAUUAUUAUUAUUAUUAUUAUUAUAAUCUUUUGGAAGUUGUAGAUGCAUAUUUAGAGUUAUGCUUGUGAAUUUUGUUUCUAUUUGCUUGUUGUCUAAGUAUGAGCUGUAGGUUGGGAAUUUACACUUUGUUGCUAUUUAAUGUUGCUUGGACAUUCACAUUCAUGCACAAAUUCACAGACAGCAGGGUUGGGAGCAGGUGGAGCUUCGCAGCUUCCUGUUUGUUCUUAAUUUAACCUCCAAUAAAAUUGGUGCUAAAGAUUUAAAUUUUCAGCUUUGACUAAUGUUAUUUGUAUAUAUGUUUCAAUAAAUGUAUGUGCCUAUUUUCUGUUUUAGUUUUCUUUUUGCGAAUCCUAUAGUUCCUUUAGCAAAUAGUUUGCUACCUGACAAUCCAUUGACAAGCAAACUUUUUUGGCAAUAGCAAAGUGGGACAUAGAGCAGAAUCAGAAGAUAAUAUUUUUAUGUUUGCCAAUAGUAAAGGUUAGAUUCAGAAUAUAAUAGAUAACCGAAAGGAACAAACUGGUGUUUUUUUUGCUCCACAAUCAUUGCAAUAAGUUUUGGCAUUCCUUUUUUAAGUAAUGAUGAGACCUUAACAUUUAUUCAUACACAACUGGAAUUUUGUCAGAGGAAUAUUAAUUAUUGUAACUUCUGAAGUUCCCAUUAUUAGGACUUCAAAUAUGUACUUGAUGCUUGUUACUUACAGUUUUCCGUUUUUCAUGUGUAGGUUCUGAAGGCACAGAAAAUUGCGAAGGAGAAAGGCUAUUCUGAUGUUUUGUAUUUGGACUCUGUCGAGAAGAAGUAUCUUGAGGAAGUUUCUUCCUGUAAUAUAUUUAUUGUGAAGGUAUGCCUUGAAAAUAUGAUAUCAGAACUUAUAAUCAAAUGGAUAUGCAGGUUUGUUUUAUCUUGAAAAAUCAAUGAUACUAUAUGCUUUUGCAUAUAAUACAACGACAAUCUAAUGAUAUGCUAGGCAUAUGAUACAUCAACAGUCUAACCUUUCAUCUCUACUAUUUUUGUUGUGGCUAUGAAUCUAUUCCUCUAUUCAAACCCUGUUUUUGGCACAAAUUUUGUGAAGAUAACGACUACGGCCUAAUAUAUUUAGUAACAAGUUAGGAGCACAGAAAUUGGGUAUGAGACGGCACAUUGGCCACCUAUGUCAAAACUUUUAUUGUAUAAUCUGACUUAUAUAAAUGUAUACAUUGUUAUUGUAAUGCCUUUCUCACCUUACUGACCUUCUUUUAAUUGGUGUAUUGUUGAUCAGGAAAUACCUGAAUAAUAGUGUUACGUUUUUUUUUUCCAAUUUCUGCUAGGUCAUAUAUGCAUAUACUUAACUGUAUAUAAAGCUCCUUUGGAUGUUUUAUGCACUGUUGCAAUGAGUAUUGUCUUUCUUUUAGGGUAAUGUUAUUUCAACCCCUGCAUUAAAGGGAACAAUCCUUCCUGGAAUUACACGGAAAAGUAUAAUUGACGUUGCAAGGGGCCACGGGUUUGAGGUACUAUAUACCCGUACAUCCCUGUAAAUAAUGAAAGAGUUGUAUAUGUCCUUUACAGUUGUAGAUUUUCUUUGCCUAUUUUACUUUUUAUAAUUUGAAGAUCUGGUUGUUUUUGAGUGUUUUAUGAUAAAGUCUGAAAUUUUGCAGGUUCGAGAGCAACUAAUAUCGGUAGAAGAGUUACUUGAAGCUGAUGAAGUUUUCUGCACAGGAACGGCUGUUGUUGUAUCCCCUGUAGGAAGUAUCACCUACCGUGGGAAAAGGUAAAAUAUUCUUUUCUAAUAUUUUUUAGCUAUUUCAUUUUUCUCUCAGUCUUUUUUAACUAUUUCAUCUUUUUCUUUUUCAUGAUGUUAAUUCCGUCUAGGGGAUGGUUCUUUCAUUCGGCUGUCUUAAUCAAGUUUUAGAGUUUUAGUGCACUAUAUAUAUAUUUAUAUUUAUAUUUAUAUUUAUAUUUAUAUUUAGGGUUAAUUGCAUACAGGUCCCCGCAAAUAUAGUGAAUUGCAAAUAUAUUCCUGUAAAGUUCAACUUUUAUAAGUUAUCUCUGCAAAAGUCCUAAUGUUUUCAAAUAUGUCUCACUGAUUUGUUACUGUUAGAGAACCGUUAGAAAAUUAUUUAUAUUUUCAAUUUUGCCAUCACAAAUAUGUCCCUCCAAAAGUUAUAAUAGUAUAAUAUAAGAGGGGUAAAAAUGUCAAAAAUUAACCCGGGUAAAGUAUUUAGCCUAUGGUUAAUUAAACUUUUCUAACGGAUUCUAACGGCAGGGGCAUAUAUGAAAACAUUAGAAUUUUUGCAGGGAUAACUUAUGAAAGUUGAACUUUACAGGGAUAUUUCUGCAAUUCACUAUGUUUGCAGAGAUCUGAAUGCAAUUGACCCAUAUAUUUAUAUAUAUCAAAAACUUCACGUUGUCCUUUUCCAGUGCUCUUUCAAAUUCUAAGAACCUUUUCUUGCUCUGCUCACUUAUUUUAUGAGCAUAGAAUGUAUCACUUAAACAAGAUUUCCCAUAAGAUUUCCCAUUGCAAACAAGAUCUCACAUGCUUGCCUAGGUUAGAUUGUCGAGUUUGAUUCAAGUGAAAUCAGACCUUGAUCUGCUCUUCCAGUUGAGCUGUUUAACCUUCCGAGUUCUAAUUAUGAUCGAGCUUGGGUUGGAUUUACAAACCUGGCAUAUUUCAGGCAUUGUAUCUCAAGCCAAUGUUCAUAUAUGAUUUUAUUUAUUUAUUUUUUGUCCUUCAUGCUACACAAACUUACAUUUGACCACAGCAAUUUUGACUAAUGUCCAACGAAGACAUCAGAUCAAGAUUUAAUGCAAGGCAUGCACCUUAGAUUCCGAAUAUCUUAUUACAAUCUUUCCAGCUUAUGCUACUGUUAUCUGUCAUUGUGAACUUGAAUGCAGCAAAAGAGCAGUAUUCCAAGUUUUUAAAGACUUGUUAUAAAUUCGUGCUGAUUUCUAUUCUUCACAGGGUGGCUUAUGGAAACUGCGGAGUUGGUGUUGUGUCUAAACAACUCUAUUCUAUUAUUACAAGUCUCCAGAUGGGUCUUGUGGAGGACACAAUGGGCUGGACUGUGCGAUUGGACUGAGUGCUACAGAUCAUUCGAUCAAAUGAAUAUUCACAGCUCACUUUUUUGUAUUCAUUGCUCUAGUAACUUUUUGAUCCACACUUGUUGGAUAGGUGAUACUUAUGGUAACAUUUAGCACUUUUUUAGCAUUUUAUUUUAAUGGUACUUUGGUUUUAUUACAUCCAAUGCACAUGUGUUACCUCCUAGCAUGCAAACUAGCGCCCUAAACUUAAUAUAUUUUACUUUAUUGUAGCUUAUUGGUGAUGGAAUUUAUCUGUUGAAAAUAAGAUGCACAAUAUAUGGGCAUGAAAACCGCCAUUCCUUAUCUGUUUUGAAAUUCAUAAUCUAAACAAUAUAUAUUUUCUUUUGGUUGUUUCAAUGCAGAACGACACAUGUAUCAUUCUCUUUUACUGUACUAUUUUUCUCAUCCUACUGCUUUAAAGCUGUUGGUUGGGUACCAGUGGUGGUAUGUAAAAAGUAUCAAAAUCCUUAUCAACCUUUCUGCAUAGAAUUCUCUCUUUUAGAUGCCAGUGUUUCUAUCAUACUUUUUACAUCAGUCAGAUGGAGAAGGACACAACCAGCACAGGAGCAUCUGUGCAUUCCGUCCGCCUUUCAAAUGCAACCCGCUAACUACGGAAGUAAGUACCGAUCCUUUAUGGAAUCACAAGGUUCUGCUAUAAAUACGUGGUUGUGAAUUGGUACAUUUAAUGAACGUUAGACAAGUUUUUCAAGUUUGUUCAAUGGUAACUGCAAUUUCACUAUCAAUUGCUAUUCUAGCUGGAACUAUUUCAGAAAAGUAUGAUUGUUUGGUCUGUUGUGGCAAAAGGUACCUAACGUUGAUGUGUACUUUAUUGAUAAUUAUCAAGAAGGAAAUCUUUAGCAAGUCAGGGCGGUGACACUUUCAAGGAGCAAGUAUAACAACUCCCAAAGAUGGUUACUAGAAUGUAGUGUAUAUUAUAUAUUUUGUGUGUGUAUCUAUGUACAUAUGCGUAUGAAAACCUGCUCAUACUUCUUUACCUGUGCUUGAGUUCUUUAUCAUAACUCACUGUGUUAGGUUAAACAUGAUGCCCUGCUGCCAGAAUAUCUCAAGAGGUUUGCUUUUAAGGGAAGUAGUGUGACUAAAUUUUGGUAGUUAUUGCUUCUUAUCCAGUUAAGAUCAUCACAUUUAGACUUCCUGUAUGUGAAGAUCAAUUCUGUUUUCAGAGUAAAGAAAAAGUCCGAAUGCUCUUGCAUUUGUUCUAGUCUAGUUCAUAUGCUCUAAUCAAUUGCAUAUCUUAAACAAAAUAUUUGAAACUCUGUGGAAUAGAUCAGGAAAGGUUGCAGGAGUAGCGAUGAGAAGUGAGCAAUAUGCACGUUUCCUCUAAUAAAACAUUAUGGGUUUGAGCUGAAGGAAAUGAUUAGGCCUUCUGAAAUAGCCUCUUUCGUUAAAAUACUUGCGCCUCUAGUCACCCUUUACUGUGCUUUUUUUGUAUUCAAGAAGUUCCUCUUAGCUGUCUAAUUAAGGCUGUGGAUGAAAACUCGAGGUUUGUUUUAGUUAUGGCUUUAUAAGGAUCGAUAUGCCGGGAAGAGGGUUGAUUGUUUCAAAUUUUUUUAAAAUUGAUUGCAUACCAAAGUAACAGCGAAAGCAUUGAGGAUUAAGAAAUACUUAAUUGCUAUCAUUGAUAUCAGAAUUGCUACAAUGAGCUUUCCUUGUAGUUGUCUCAUUAGAGUUCUCUAAAGAAGUGUACUAAUGAGUUAUUACAUGAUCAAUCCUUUCUUAUUCACUUCCCCCAUGAAGAUCUGUCCAUUUGCAUUCUUAAUCAGAUUAGUACGGUUCUUUUCUUGAUUUGCAUGGGUAUCCAGGCUAUAAAGCAGUUGGUUAGCUAUCCACACUUUGUCAUGUUCUCCUUUUAUUAAUUCAUCUCAUGUGAUUUGGGUGGCCAAAAGCUCUUCUUUAUCGCUGGCACUCAAGAAUGGGAUUCUGAAAAGGACAUUGCAAUACUGAGACAAAGGUGUGUGCGUGGGGUAGCGUCCAUUGCAAAAAUCUUCAUGAUGAAAAGUGUACCGAGUCCCCGACCGACCACGUUCACGCAAGUGGCCCGUAAGAGCACUUGUUCCGAAUGCUAGGGCUCGAGCUUUUUGCAGAAGUGAUGUUUCAGUAAAAUUGCUCAGAUAAGUGCUUCGUAGUUAAACAUCCGAUUUCUGGUUAUUCGGGUAUAAAAGUUGCUUUAAAAUUUGAGCCCGGAAGAUGUGGAAGAGGCAAGUAGCAGUUGAUAGAUCCUUAGUGAGGGGACUACUAAUGUUAAGGUGAGCACCGCGUCAUAGGGUUGAUGUAGAGGAUGACCUAGGAAUAGUUGUAUAGGUUUUUAAAACCGACAUCUUAACAACUGGGUACGUGGAUUAAUCAUAGCACUCAAAAAAGUUUUUCUAAAUCGGUUAAUGACAACAUCUCCAGAUUCCUCUUAGUAAGUCAUAUAGGUUUAAAAUGAUCCAGUUGUUUCGUAAGCUGUGCAUGUUGUGAGUGGUUGCAAUCAUUCCUCUUACUUAAUCGCGUCCUGGCUCGUAUUUAAUCUAUACUUUGCUUCCCUUCAGGUAUCUUCCGAUUGUUAGCUUCUACUGUGUUUAUAAGUUUCUAACUUUUCGUUUGCUAAACAAUAGCUUAGCUAUUGCUUCUUGAGUAGAAAAAAGAAAGUGUUUUUAAGUUUGUCGUAAAGUGUAUGAAAAGGACCUAGUUGAUAAAUUUUUGGGUGCUCCCAAGUAGUAGCUGAGAGUGGUUGAUCUUCUGCCGACACUGUUUUUAUCCUUUUGAAACUCCAUUUUGAUCUAUGCUGGUUAACAGUCCUUUGGUCAAAAUCUGGAAAGUGAAAUUUAUUUUAGUUCAUUGAUUUCAUCCACCCUAAUCAAGGAUAAAGAUUAGCAAAUUCGAAAUUCCUUUCCACAUAAAUUGCACAGUAAGACCAAAACACAGAAGGGAUAAUUACACUUAUCACCAAGAUUAUCGCUUUAUUUAAAUUUUUGGAUCGAGUCUUUAAUAUUUAUUAAUUAUUUCCAAUCAACUCAAAGACCCAAAAAAAAAAAAUGGUACUCUAACCAUCCAAAAUUCAAGCUCACUCCCAGAAAAAAGAUAAAAAAUUUACUCUGAAACAACAUGGGACUACUAGAUAUGCCACAUACUAUAGGAGGAACAUAGGACAGUGUAAAUGUGUAAUAAUAUAUCUAGGCAUGUUCCAAUUUACUGUGAGCUCACGCAACGUGAUCCACACUCAAAUUCUGGGGCAGUGCGUGCCGUUUCUUCGGGGUCAAGCAUGGGAUCCCAUCUUUUUCUUCAUUUUUUUUUUCCCAUUUUUUUUUUUAAAAAAACUUUUCUCUUCUCCAUCAUAUAACAUAGGCCAUUUUAGAGCCCAGUGUGGGAAAAAUUAUGAUGACGACGACGAUGAUGAUGAUGAUGAUGUUGUUAAGUAAAUGCCCUUUAUAUACUGUGGGAGGGUGAGAAAAAUGAGUGCACUUGUCGCCCACUGUAACACUCCUCCCCCUUCUUUGUUCUUUGUGAGUGUCCUGCAUUUGGGUGGAUGAGUGGUGGGUGGGAGUGGUUGUGUACGUGUGUGCAUUGGGUGGCUUGUGACAGGGUGAUACUUAAAAAGUGAUUAUCAUAUAAUUAUUAUUAUUUCCUUCUAUUUGUGGAAGAAAACAAAAUGGAUCUUAGGCAGGAAUACAUUGUUUUCGAGAUUAAGUAUGUUUAUUUGCCCGCAAACCAAAUUAGAGUUUCGAUAGUUUUAAUUUUUGUUGCAGUAAAAACACUAGACUUUUUUCUUUUUAGUGUAUCAAACGCUUUAUUAGAAGUGCCUUUGAAGCAAGUCAAAUAUUCUCAGGAAGUUUUACUAUUUUAGCAAAAAAAAGAAAUAUCUGAGAAUAAUAAUCACAGUUGAGUUUUAUCCAGAGAAUUAUUUUGGAAGUUGUGAAUUUGAUCUCUCUGCAUGGCGUUUCAAAAAAUAGGGGUUUAAAUCUCUAACUUCUUAGGUAAUAUCUUAGUAUAGUUUCUUGGAAGGGUCUUACGUACGAGAACUUCAAAAAAACGACAAAAAAAACAAAAACAAACAAAAGAAAAACAAUGUUCGAGGCACGAAAUAUAAUCUGCUCCAUAGUUAGGCCCCUAAUUCACCCUAAUAAUAAAUAUUAGUACUAUUGAUAAAUUGGUUGAUGGUUAGGAAAGCCUAACUUAAAAAGUCUUUUAUGGAGGCUACAUCGCUCAACAUCGUUCUAUUUUGUAGCGGACAAAAGAAAGGAAGUUCGGAAAAGAACCCCUCUUUGUCCCUGUAUUUAGCCCCACAUAAUCAAUCCACGACUAUGUUCUCCUCAUCAAAUGCAACAAACUGAUGCCAUCAAAUAGCUAAAAGUCGUAGCCGUCGUAGCCGUCGCGAGCACGACGGGGGGUGAUGCGUCGCUGCGAAUCAUCGCAACUUGAUGAUCUACGAUGCUCCUCGAUGGCGAAACAUCAACCACCGCAGCAUCUACAUACUGACCUACAAGCUGUGAUUUUAAAACAAUUUAUAGGAUUGAAUUAUCGAGAUUAUGAUCAAAUAUGGAUUAGAUUAUUGGAUUACGCAACGAGUGACUAGUGAGGGGUCAGUGUCUGUUUCGAACAGCUUCUGCUAACAGCGGAUAAGGAAGCGAAAAAGGUUUGGUCGCGGUUAGAUGCGCCCAAACAUGGGCGCAUCGUGUAGAGAAAAAUGGUCCACUAUAUAUAUAUGCUUGAUCGGUUUAGACCCAACACCAACAUAUACAUGGAACUGGGUCCAGAUGUGGACAAUGGCACGACGUAGAAUGAUGCUUAACUUUGUCGAUGAUGUAACGUUCUCUCAGUUUUGUUUUGUAUCCUAACUACUUUGAUACAUGAUAUAAUUAAUGGAUCCCAGUUUCAUUAAUAGUUGUUUUAAAAGACAUUUCGAUUAAGUUAAUUGAGUCAUAUAUAAUUCUCAUGCAUGCAGUUAACUUUAUAUCAUUUUCCUUCAUUGAUUUUGAUGUUUUGUUCACACUCACCGUAGUGGAGUGAGUCAAGUUACAAUCACAGAGACUUUUUUACUAUUUAAACAAUUUAUAUAAUUAUAUAAUAAACUAAAUUAUAAUUAUCUUUAAAUUAUGUAUUAAAGAUGAUAAACGAUGAAUAAGACAGUUUUACUGCUCUCUACUAUAAAUAAAUAAGUCUAGAGGAUAGAAGUUUUUUUUUUUUUUUUUUUUUUUUUUUUUUUUUAGAUAGGUAGUACGCUACCUGUUUCGUUUAUUUCAUUUAGAUAUAAACUUAGCUGGAAAUGUGAAUCAAUAGGAUUCGAAUUUGGGUCUCGGAUAUCAACCACCAAAUCUUUUGCCACUUAUUUUAGGAACGAUCGGUAGGAUAGAAGUUAAUUUAUCUCAGUUGCUUUCUUUCUUUUUGGAGAGUCGGUCUCAGAUGUGAGCAAUGAAGUAACGGAACCCCAUUCCUUUUCGAAAAUAUACAAUCGUAGAAUGCGAUAUUUAUGUACCAAAAUUUAUAAAUUUGGCAUACUAUAUUGAGUUUUUUAAAUGAAAAACUCUAAUUUAAUAUUUUUAAUCAAAUUAGAAAAAUAAUAUGUUAUAUAAUUUUUUUGAGUCCAAUUGGGAUACUUUCAGAAGCAUGAGGCUUUAAGUUGUUGUUCUUAAGGAGCUUUUGAAUGGAUGUUGAUAUGUUAUCCUUGAUGUAGAGUAUUUAAAUAUUUAAAAAAUAAAUUUAUAAUUUUUUGAUGUUAUUUAUUAAGUGAUGGAGAGAGCUCAAAAUUAAUAAUUUUAAUGAACGAUGCGAGUCGCCUGCAAGUUUAGUGAUAUAAAAAUAUUGAAAUCAUAUAGAAUAUGGAUAGAAAUUUUUUAUAUAUUUAAAAUGAGAUCAGUCAUCAUAUUUUUAAAAUUUUUAUUUUCGGAUAAAAAAAUAAUUCUAAUUAAAUUAUAUAAAAUUUUGCACGAUCCUAAUAAUAACUAGACUUAAAUAUUUUAAUUUUGGAUUGAUAAUUUAAGCUCAAUAUUUUUUUUUUUUUGAGAGAUAGGUAGCACGCUACCCGCUUUGUUUAUUUCAUUUUACUGAAAAUAUAAAUCAACUAGAAUUCGAAUUCAGAACUUCGGAUACCAACUAUCAAAUCCACUUGCGCUAGGGACGCUCAAUAAAUUUUUUUUUUUUUUUGAAAGAGAGAUAGAUAAUACGCUACCCGUUUCGUUUAUUUCAUUUAGAAAUAAACUUAGCUGAAAAAUGUGAAUCAACUAGUAUUCGAUCUUGAGACCUUAGGUGCCAAUCAUCAAAUUCUUCGCUACUUGCGCUAAAAACAGCAUACGACGCUCAAUAAAUUAUUAUUGCUGAGGGAUUAGAUAGUUACAAAUAAUCUACAAAGUGGGCAUUAUGGGAAACAAAAAAAGUUUCUCUCUCUUUCUCUCAACUUCCACACACUCUCUCUCUACGUAAUGUUUUCUUAAUUAGCUCUGACGUAGAAAAAGAGGAGACGGGAUCAGCAGAGCUGCAGUGCGUCAGAGAGCGCGAAGAAAAACAGAAGGAACGAAAAGAGAAGAAAAUAAAAGAGAAGAGAAAGAGGAGAGAUAGAGAGAGAGAGAGAGAGAGAGAAUAUAUGGUGGUUGUAGUGCGAGGAUUCCAAAGGUCUCUAACAUCUCCCUCCACCAUGGUCGACGACACCUCCAACGCAUUAAAAUCCCCACGUUUGGAUGGAGCGAAACUCGACCUUUCCUGGGGUUGUUGAGGAGUCCUUUUGGAGUACGUUUUUAAGAUCAUUCCGUAUGAAGUAUCUGAUUCAGUAAAUUGAUCAGAAAAGAAAAAGAAAAGAAGGUAAUUUGGUUCAAAAGAAAGAAGCUUAUAUAUUAUGUGAGAAGCUGAGAAAUUUAGCUGCAUAUACGACUCUCUUGCUUUUGAAGGAAUUAGGGAAAGGAAUUAAGGUGUGGGUCGAGUUUGUUCGACGUUGCAGGAAAAGUUUUAUUCCUUUCCUCGUCCAAUAACUUAUAACAGCUCAUGUUCAGAUUCCACCGCUUUAUCUGUUUAGGAUAAAAAAAAAAACAAAAAAACAUAAAAGAUGUUAUGUAUUAGGAAGUUGAGAGGCCUUAAUUGGGAGAGGAAGAGUUGUCUCUCGUGAUCCUCAUGGUCUUUUAAUUUCAGGUGCUAAAUUUCUUUUUUUUUUUUAAAAAAAUAAUAAUUAUGGAGCUCAGUUUGAUGUUUAACUCCUACAAUGGGAUAUAUAUCAAUUUUAUCAGCAUACUCUUUUAUAAGAAAUAGAAUCAUGCUGAGAGAAUUAACUUAGUUGCACAUAUUGGAUCAAUUGAUGAAUAUUUUGUUGGUUCUGUUGAUUGUAUUGUUGUUUCCUUUUUUUAAUCUUGUAGCUUGAUUGAUUUGCAGAUUCCAAGGCCGUAGAUAGUUCUCAGAUUCCCUGAUUAACCUCCUAGAAAAAGGAAUUCGGCAUAUAUCUGCCGACCGUAUGAUGGGAAAGAGAGCGCGCAGACGAUCUCCGCGGUCAGAAAGGUACAAUUUGGGCUGUGUGUGGAGCCUAAUUCGGAUUUUCAACUUCCGCCGGGGCCGGAAGUUAAUUUCAGAUCGGAAGCAUGGGAGUAGUAAACAUGAUGGUAAUUCGAGAUCUUGGACUCGCCAUUUCUCUCUGUUCUCGAGGUUUCAGAAUUUGUGGAUCUUACAUGUUCGUAUCUGACGGUCUUAAUCUGCAAGUUUUCUUAACGAGAUCAGAUAGUCAUAGGUUCCAUAACAUUUUUCUCUUUUCAUGUUGUAAUUUGCAUUUAUAGAUAUGUUCCUCUAUAAAUGCCUACAGCGUCUUUAGUCUAUCGGAGUGGAUAAGACUAUUUUGUAUGAAAACCCAUCUUUUUGAAGUAACUGGAAGCUUGUAAGAGAUUGAAUGUGUUGAAACUCUAAUGAUCAAUAUGAUUGACAAAUUUUGUGUCUCGCUGUUUUCUUUACCUGAUAUCAACCCCCGUUUUCUUUGAAAGAAUACAGAAUUUAUUGAGCUUUGUAUUUCCUUCUCAUUUUCUGCAGUCUCUGGACAUGCAAGAAGUAAGCUCAACAAUGUUGAAGAAAUACCUGAUCAUGUUGACGUGAGAUCUUUAUCUCUCUCUCUAUACCCAUCUCUCUCUCUCUCUCUCUUCUCCUUGCACGUAUUUCUGUUUUUCUGCAUUCAGUAACUUCUGACAAGUAUUAUUUAUGUCAGCGUUGUGUUGAUUAGUCCAAAAAGUUAUAUAUGGAAGUAUGGAACGCUAAAUUGAAAAUGUUAUAUGAAUUGUCUGGUGCAGGAACUGUAUAAUUCAAGCGAUUCUAUUUUUCUGUUAGACUAUUCAUAGUUACCGUUAUGUGAUUCCUCUACUUUUCAGGGUACAGAGGAAACCGAAUUUGGAAGGGGUUAUUCGGGUAAGCCAAGUGUAAAAGCACUUAUGGAGGAAGAGAUGGCCAGCACACAGUCCUUGAAGAAAAUUCCAAGGGAUGAAGUUGAAAGAAUAUUAUCCGACUUGGGACAUGAGAUUGUUCUGGAGAAAAACGAAAAACAAUCAAGAAAGAAAAAUAAAGCAAUUUCAGAUCUUCAUGUUAAUGACCUCAAGCGCCGUGGAAGCGUAGGCUCAAAUGUCCCUAAGUGCGUUGAUCAUGGAUCUGAUUUUAGCUUUGAAUUGGCACCAAAUCAGGUAGAAAUCUAUAAAGAUCAAAGUGACUACCAAAAUGUUGAUUUUGAGAAUAACAUUGAAGCAUAUCUUGCCUUGAAUUCGAAACUUGAUAGGAAGCAUAGUGAUGUUAUUAAGGACUCUUAUCUGCAAAAGGCACUAGAUAAUUUGGCUGACUUAGUUAUUAGCCAUAGAAUUAUUGACCAGAAGCAUCUCAAUGGGAGCACGGCGGAUCAAACCACUGCAUUGGAUACAUUAGAGAUACUGAGCUCAAACAAGGAAUUGUAUCUGAGGCUUCUUCAAGAUCCAAAUUUGAAUGCAUUUGAACAUUUACAAGGUCUCCAUUCUAUUCAAGGAGAUUCCAUUGGGUCAGUAGAAGAUAUUGGCAGUUCGGAGCGGUUCGAGGAGUAUUCCACUGAUGAAGCAUUCAAUAAACAGAUUAGACAUAAUCUUUUCUGGAAAAGUGACAAAUUGAAGACAAGAACACCAUCCCAAGGAGGUGAUAGUUCUCAGGCUAUUAGUAGAAUAGUUGUUCUGAAGCCCAAUAUUUCGAGAGAGAAAGAUAAUUUAGUCACGAAAAAUUCGACCUUUUCACCUCAAUCAAGAUUUCAAGCAGCAGACUACAAUGAGAAAUUUGUUUCAAACUUUUCCCUUCGAGAAAUCAAAAGGAGGUUGAGAAAUUCCCUUGGCAUGAAUAAAAGGGAGCAGCAUUCAAUCUCCAUAGAUGGUGUAGUGCAUAAAAUGUCUUAUGGAUAUAAGGAUUCUGUUAACUCAGGUAAACAGUUUCCAAGGGAGAGUUCAAUAAAAGGCUUGGCAAGUAAAGCUUCUGCAGGAACUGAAGGUGCUUCUAAAGCAUCUGCUGUUGACGAGUACUCGAAGCCAAAAAAUUGCCAACUCAACAUUAAAAGUGGCAUUGCUCUAUCCAAUGGUGGAUCUUUAUUCUAUGAGGAGGCCAAGAAGCAUCUGGUAGAGAUGAUAGGAAAUCAAAACCAAUACAGUAGUUUGCCAAUUCGAAGGAUCUCAAAAUCUUUGGCAACAUUACUUUAUCUGGCAGAUUGUGGUUUAUUGUCUCCUAGACGGAACAAUGGAAAAGAGGAGCCUCAUCUUUCGCCUAAAGACACAAGAUUAUCUACUAAACAAGAAGAUGAUGUCCAGAUGUUGGACGCGUCGAGGCAAGAGGUGGAGAAUAUUGCAUGCGAAGUUUGCAUUGCCGCUGAUGAACAAGUAAUUGAAGCAAAGGGAGAACUUGCCUUUACACCUAGUCAGGAGGAGAAUUACAGUGAAAAGGAAAUAAAGGCUGAAGGUACCUUAACUUGCUCCGCUAGUUGUGAUAUAUUGUUCAGUGUCUUAACUAGAGAUAUAUACGUGUAUAUACCCCUGCAACUUCGUCUAUUUAUUUAUAUACUCUUGCAAAAUUUAAUUUUUCUUAAUUCAUUUCGAUUGCUUAAAUUUAUUCCAUAUAUGUACCUGCAUACUUUGAAAGUUCCCUCUUUAUAAAACUUUAUCUACUGUAAAACCAACUUCCCCAUGAAUUGGAUGAACCCCCAAGUUAGAUAAGUGUACUUUGUGUCAGUUUCAAAGGGAAUAUAUGAAAAGUCCACACAUGUGUGCAUAUAUAAGUAGAUGAUUUUGCAGGGACAUACAUAUACACACACAACAUAAGUACAUGCAUACAUUUAUAUAUAUAUGUAAUGAUCCGUUUUCUAAACUCUUAAAAUCAUUGAAGGAGGUAGAGCAAUUGUAGACGUAGAGGAUAUCAACGUGUGUAGCAAUUCAGAUGUAUCCUCAGAAUCAGUUGUUAGUGAACAUGAUAUUUCAACUGAAAGUUUUGGUGAGGGAGGCUCAGAACAGGUUAGUUUUUAGAGAUUUCAUAUCAUUGUGUCCUGAUGUCUUCCUAUUUAUGAUGAUAUCUCAUCUUACUUUUGAAGAGUCAAUUGGAGAAACCAGAAUUGGUCGACCCAUCUGUAUCAAAUUUUCCAAACUCUCCUGAGAGAAUCAUGGAAAAGCCGGAGAUCUCGAGUUCAUCAACUAUUCCUGAAAUAUUCAACUCAUCUGAACCAAUAUUUCCUCUCUCUUUUAAGAAAAACAACGACACACCAGAGGAAAUCUCAGAAGAAAGAACCACUCAAACCACACACCUACUAAGUAUGAUCUAACUCAAAAGUAUUUUUCUUCCAUUAUUACAACAGUUAAUUUCGGCAUAGAAUCACCAAAUAUUUUUUUUGUCACAUACAGCUGAUUUGCCCAUACAACAAUCCGAAAUUCCAUUCAAAGAGCAUCACAUCUCUUUGGUCCCUCUACGAACUUUGGAGGAUGAGAAAGCCAGGUUUGAGUACAUAGCUACAGUGGUCGAAGCAUCCGGAUUAAGCACUGGAGAAAGUUUAGAGAGCUGGUACAUGGAUAAUCAGUUACUUGACCCUUACUUGUUUGAUGAAGUUGGGGCCUUAUAUAAUUUCAAUGACGAGUCUCUUCUUCUCUUUGAUUGCAUUGGUGAAGUUAUACUUGAAAUGCGAGAGAAAAUUUUCCAACUAACCCCUUCAGUAUCUUUUGUCAAGCACAAAGAUCCAGCUUCAAGAGGAGUAAACAUCAUUUUCGAAGUGAGCAAAUGUGUUGAGUGGUAUUUCCAGAAUCAAAGUCCAGUCACAUUAGAUCAGAUAGUAAGAAAGGACAUGGCAGGUAAAAGUUGGAUUGACCAUCGACCUGAGAGCGAAAGCAUUAUUAGCGAGUCACAGGAUGCUAUUCUAGAUGAUCUAUUGGAAGAAAUUGUGUUUGAUUUGUGGCUUUAGAGAAUUAAAAAAAAAAAAUCUGAGUUAACAAAUGGCACCCUUGCGUUACUAAUGGUUGGAGAUAAUGAAUAAAAUGAAAGCUAAUGUGAUGUGAAUAAAGUUUUCUUUUCAAAUGCAAACUUGUUUCGGUGUUUUUGGUAGGAUUAUUAGGGCUUUGAUUUGCUUGUAUAUUUUCUUCUUGAUUGUGUAGUUAGAAGUACCAUGCCUAAUGACUGAAGGCUUGCAUUUCACGUUGUUUUACGGACGUUUAUCUUGUGCAAGUUGAAGUGAAAAAGAGUUCAGAGUUGGUUUGCUUUCACGCAGUUUAGUCUAUCUCAAAUGUCUUUUCUUUUUUUUUUUUCUCAUGCAUGUAUCAGUUAUUUAUGAUGGCCAGAAAAACUAUCGCAUUGCGGCACCAGCUUACUCUACUGUUUGAUUCUCUUCUCUUUUUUCUGUUCGUGUAAAAGUUGUAAAAGAGGUUAUUAACAUGUAAAUUGUUUUACCUUCUUGCACUUCUCAAUCUGUAUAUUUACAGUAGAAUGUAUAAGAUGAGAUGCUUCUGUUUCUAGCCUCUUUUAUCUUUUUGCCAUUAUGUCGCUCAUCCUGGAUCAUUGUGGUGGAAUGGCGGUAGGUCUAGAAUCUAGAUAUUUAUGAAGUUUGAGCUUCAACUGAGGAAUCUUAGAAAAAUCUACUUGUUUAAACCAUAAUGAAUCAUAGUUCAACAAUGUGUACUAAUGCAGUGCUUGAAUCCUAAGUAACUGCGAGUUUUGUUUACAAUAUAGUUAGCCAGAAAACUAAUGUUGUUACUUUACUGAUGCAGAUUACAGCGUAUUCUAGGUCAACAAAAAUUUACUGCAUUUCCUUGUGUUAGUUCAUCCUAUGCCGACUUCGCCGAACUUGGUUGCAAGAACUAAGUAUGAGCCUAGUGUUGAUUCUGCAUUGAUAUCGUAAUCAUCUUUUUUUAAAAGAUCCAUCAGCCAAAAGAACAUCAUCAAUCCAUGAAACAAUGUUGUAUGCCAUACUCUCAAGCACCCGCGAGUAACUUUCUAGGAUUGCUUGCCCAACAUCCUGUCAAACAAAAAAGAAGUUAAAAAAAAAAAAAAAAGAUUGAGAAAAUUGAAUAGUGAUGAUUUUGUGGGAGGUCUACAUAUGUAAAAGAGCUUAUUUUUGUGAUUAAUUUGCAUAUUUACCUUGUUGUACUGGAUUUUGCUUGUAUCCAAUGUUGUCUGAGACAAUCCAGGGAACCUCUGUUUCAAACAGAGCAGAAGACUCUCUGCUCUACUUGCUAGCAUCACAUUUUUAUCAUUAUCACCCAUGAGAUCCUUCACCAUAUCCCAUGAGGAUUUUGAGUGGUUGAUGCUUGCUUUUCGACGCCAAACAUACAUCGCGGCCUCCACGCGAUCCGCUAUCUCAAGUGCUUCGUGCUCCGAUGAUAGAUCGAGGCAGCCAAGAAGAUAGUCCGGUGAGAACUGGUCUGGUGUCGACAUGUAUUUGUAGAUCGAGUCGCCGACGCUUGCUCGUCCGCUCUAAACAUCAGAUUCAGAUAGAGGUAGUAACAGGUUAUCAGCUUACAUUGUUUAUAUCCUUUGUUUGUGGUUUAUGUCUUUUUUUGGGGGGGUAUAUCACACAUUUACCGCCUGCAAAUCUUCUAUUUACAAGUUAUGUGCCAAGUUAUUGCAUAAGUAUAUGCAUAUACUUACUAAAAUGUUUUUUUAAAAAAGUAUAUUCUAAUAUAGAUCAUUUGCUGGGGCGUAUAUGUAAACUUGCUUUCUGAAUCAUGCAUGAAGAUUUGUACAUCUAUACUCACAGAUGAUUGAAACAAAACAAAAUCUGGAACUGGAAGUGUGAUUCUGGAACCUCUAUUUCAGAAUGGUGAGCAUAACUAGCAUAAUGGAAGUGGUUGCUAUAAAUAUGUUUAAUAUAAAAAAAUGGCUGUUAUAAGAUGUUAAAAAUUAGUGUAAUUGCAUCAAAUUUUACCUUUGGAAGCGUUGCAAUGUAUGAUUCCGGGACCUCCAUUUCUGAAAGGAUGCAACUGUUUAUAGCCAUAGCUGCUUUGUGAAUCUGAUUUGCGCAGUCCCGUUUCUGCUGCAGAUCUUUUCGUGCUCUCUCGGGGAGGCCGGAGUCGGGGAGACACGGGACGGGGACCCACCACUUCUCCUCGCUGCGGGGGAUCGACCUUUGCGGUGACUUGGAGAGAUCAUUAAAUGAUUGCUUCUUUUCGUCCAAGUACCAGAAUUCUGUUUUCUGAAAGCUGUCUAAUAUGCCCUGCAAAGUGUUUCAAACUUAUGGAUGAUUAAUGCAUGAUUUUUGUUCAAAACUUUGCAAUUUAUAUGACUAGAAACACUUACGAUAAGCAUAGCGUCGAGCUUUUCGAGCGCAGGGAGGUUGACAUAAAUAUCUAUUCUUGGUCUAGUAGCCAUCACCUGAAACACAAAUCAGAAACUCAAUAAUACGGGGGGGAAAAAACAAAAUUAAAAGAAAAGAUUAUGGUAACUUAGAAAUUAAUGAAAUAGAAGAUCAAUAAUUGAAAAUUGUUGAUUCUCGCCUCUGCUGUAGACCCAUCUGGCAAUGAUUGUGAAGAAGGCAAGAAUUCAACAAUGUAGUCACAAACUGACAGAAGGCAAUCCAUCUCUCUCCUCCACAUGGAUUUCUUCUCAGGUGAGAGGGGUUCCAGUUUAUGGCAACUCCCAAAAACAGUUGCUGAAAAAAAAAUAUAUAUAUAUAUAUAUAGUGAAAAUUUUAUAAUUUUUGUACUUGACAAAUUUGUAACAUUAUGGUUAAAGAGAGCCUACCAUAGAGAUUAGUAAUGGCAUUUGAGAUUGCAACAGCAGUGCAAACCCCUUUCCCACUCCCUGACAUGUCCUCUCCCAACAAAAGCUUUGAGAAUUUCUCCUUAAUGAGCUCCAAAACUAAUGAUUUCAGAAUCAUCAGAACAAGGAACUAAUGCUAUAAAUAUAAGCUUCUUUUUGACUUUUCAAGAAGAAUAUGUUACUUUGAAACUAACAUGAUUUUGUGCAUACCAUCACUAGCAGGUUUUCUGUCCAGUAUAUCGCCGCGCUGUUUCAUGCUGAGAGUGUUCAGGACCGGCGAAGGCCGACCGACAAGCUUAGACUUGGGCCAGCCCCUAUGAUGUGAAUCAUAACUGUGCUCGGAGAAGGAGGAGACAUCGGAGAUUGUACGACUUAACUCGAGCGAAUCGAGAGUGGGACUCGAGCAUCCUGUGUCUGUGUUCCUACUCUCCAAUUCAUCUUCAGGUGAGGGGUGAAAAUCUGAUUCGGAAUUCUCAUCACACACCGAGGAGCCGUCCAUGUUUACGACGAACACCUGGAUCUGUUCUUACACCUGCAGAAAAUGCACCAAAAAGACACAAGAAAUGAAUUAAAAUUUAGCACCUGCGAGCAAAUACAGCAGCAUCUUCAAACUGCUCAUUUUCACAAAAGAUAAAAUGGAUGAGAUGUGGAAGAACUUGCUGCUAAUGUUAUGCAACAUAAGAGCAGCUUAUUCGAAAAGCAUUUUAUUCUGAUCACAAACAACAGAAUCAGCAACACAAUGGUAGCAUAUUUAAGAGAGAGAGAGAUAAGUACAAAGCAAAGAUUCAGACCCUUAACCCUUUCUCGAUUUUAUAAAUAAACUCGAUAAAUUUGUCUACCACUUUCGCUUUUCAGUGUUGUUCGCUUUAUCCUUCUUUUUUAACUUAACUCUAGAUGCAAAUUCAAAUAGUAAGCACGAUACUGAAAAAAAAAAAAAGCCUUCCGUUGCGAAAAGAAGAAAUAAAGAAAAUGGUCCCCGCCGCGUACCAUUCUCCGAUCAUUCGAAUUCCGGUGCCCGCGACAUUGCCAUCAAUUUGAAGCUUUUCCCUCCCCUCGCAAAUUUUCUUUGAAAUAAUCGGAGUCGUAAGCUAUGAAGUUUCCUUAGAAAGUGUACAUUGUAAAAGGAAUAGAGGGUAAAGCAAGGGACAUGGUCUUAUUUGUCUCCAUUUUGAGUGCUUAAAAAGGACCCUUUUCUUAUCUUAAUGGAAUACGUUUAUACUAUUCUGAACAUGGGAUGGAUGUGUCAGAAAACAAUGCAAGGGGUGUCUAAUUCCUCUGCCAAAUGAUUGAAGAAUUAGUGAGUUUUAGAGCAAAUAAAUCAAGUAGGUUUCGCAACAUGGUAUAAAUUGCUUUGAUAAAAAAAAGUCAGAGAUGUUAUUGAUAUAUUAAUCGUUGAGUUACAGGGAAAAACUUGUAUAAAAAAUCUCAAGUUUCGUUGACAAAAGCUCGAGAUUAUUGAAAGAGUAAUGAGUUAGCUGUGAGCUGUUUAGUACCCUAACAGCAUCUAAAAUCGCAACACGUGUAUCGUGUCUUUGCUAAAGCACGUGUGUUUAUUUAUUCUCAUUUGAGCGAGGAUAUGACCUUUUAGGGUUUAUAAGAUUCACAAGGAUUAAUGUUAUGCAUCAUGUUAGUAUAAGUAUGGGUACAGGUAAUUUAGCGGCUAAAUUUUGUUUUACAUGUUAAAUGUUACUAAAAGCCACAAAAAAAAAAAAAAGGCUAAAAACUUAGACAUUUGAGAAAAUUUCCAGAGGUUUGAGAUAACUUUUGAGUUAAACAAAAAUAAUGGUAACUAACCUAGAUUGGAUGGACAUUAGUGAUAUCUGUUAAUAUCAAAAUGUUCACUUAGACCCAUAUAAAAAAUUGGAACUAAAACAAAAAAAAAAAAAACAAGUUCAUGUGCUUGGAAUUUCACGAAUUUUUGAAUCAUAAUCUCUUAUUGACCAAUCCCAAUAAAACACUGCCAUUAUAUCUACAUAGUUUACUCGAUCACUUCUCCAAGUCCACUGUUUUCAUUCAUGCGCAGGAUAAAUUACUUCUCCUCUCGAUAAAUAAAUAAAAAAAAGAUCGAGCUUGUUUUACAUGGAAUCCACAAACAUAAAAUCACUUAAUAAGUUUAAUUUGCUAAAGUAAUAUCCACUUUUGUUGUUGUCAAUGUAGUUGGGAUUCUUAUUUAUUAACUUGUCACCUUCUUAUUAUAAGGGGAACAGUAGGAGUUGUGGGCACUUCGUGGCUCCCAUGAUCUCUUCAUGUCUACAUUUAUUAUUAUUAUUAUUAUUAAUUUUCUAUGAUUUUCUUGGAUGCUUAGGAUUUUAGAAAUGGUGAGCACGUAGGAACAAUUUAAAACAUUGGAAACUAAAGAUGCCUAAUAAGUAAUAUGUAACCGACCAUCUUUUAUUAGAGUUAAACAUGCAAAUGGAUGCAGGUUGGUAGAGCUUUCGCGCUGAUCCGUCCCGAAUGGGACGGUAAGUGGGAAUAAAAAAUAUAAAAAAAUAUAAUCUGUCUCGAUCUGCCAAGUAAAUGAAGCGAGAGGCGGGAGAUUCUUUUCUUCUUUCAAUCCGUCCCGCUCCGUAAAAAAUCUGCUCCCACUUUGAUCCGGCCUGAAUGGGACAGUAAGUGAGAGUUAAAAAUAAAAUAAAAAAUAAUCCGUUUCGAAUCCGCCCUGCUCUAAUAAGAAAUGAAACGUGAGGUGAGGGAAUCCUCCCACCCUCGAAUCCAACCCGUUUGCAUCCCUAAUUAGAGUGGAGAGUUAGAGGGGUGCAACAUUUUGGAUUAAUUUGGCGGAUUAAAGGCAAACAGUAACCCUAUAUUUUAUUUUUUUAAAAAAAAAUGUCCGAAUUCUAUUCAAUUUGCUAGUUGCAACUCAACCUGAUCAUCGAACACUCAAAUCCAAAAAAAACCUUACACUCCCACGGCUCCCACCCGAAGUCUGAGGGGUACGCACGUGCAGAAAAUUUUCACCUGCUUUACUACUAAACUUAACCGCAUAAUACCGGUGAGCUAAAGGGUUCAAAGAGUGUGAAAAAUAAUUUGUUUUUCUAUGUUUGGUGGAAUCUAAAAAUUAUAUUUUGGCUGGAUCAUCGUAAUUUAUGCCUUGUAUUAUUAUAAUAUACGGAAACAAACGGAAAUUUUUUUUCAUUGAACAGAAAACCAAUGUGUUUUUAAAAGCACCAUAGCCGGACUCAUAUUGAUGUCCUGAUCUGAUUGCAAGGGACAUUGAUCUGAUUAUCAUCUUGUUAGAAAGAUCUUAUUGCUUUGAUCGAAAAUUUUGUGUUUCCUUUUUCUUGUUUUAAUUGGGAAUUUUUGGCCCUGCCUUUCCUCAGUAAAACUCAAAUGAUUAGGAUUGUAAAGAAGCCGAAUACGAGGUAAAACUCAAAUGAUUAGGAUUGUAAAGAAGCCGAACACGAGGUAAUUAACCACAGCUCGUCCAUGAAUGAGAGAAGCUCGAGCUAGCUCAUCUAAUUUCAUAAUAAGACGCGAGCUAGAUGGUGCUUGACUUCGCGUUUAAAAAGAAUAAAACAAAAUGGUUGAAAAUAGCUUUGUGCUAUAUCCCUGUUUCCUCAAAAAAAAAAAAAAAAAAAAAAAAAAAAAANUGAUACUUGUAGAUUUUCAGCCCUUAGAUUAAGAAAUUUGCAGUCACGAUGAUAAUGGUCCUUUAAUGUUGAGUGGGUUGUUGGUGAAUAGUAUAAUCUAACGAGUGAAAAUGAUCAAAAGAGUAGAUCUAGCGACAGAAAACCAACGUGUUUUUAAAAGCACCAUAGCCGGACUUAUAUUGAUGUCCUAAUCUGAUUGCAAGGGAUAUUGAUCUGAUUAUCACCUUGUUAGAAAGAUCUUAUUGCUUUGAUCGAAUAUUUUGUGUUUCUUUUUUCUUGUUUUAAUUGGGAAUUUUUGGCCCUGCCUUUCCUCCUUAGUAAAACUCAAAUGAUUAGGAUUGUAAAGAAGCCGAACACGAGGUAAUUAACCACAGCUCGUCCAUGAAUGAGAGAAGCUCGAGCUAGCUCAUCUAAUUUCAUAAUAAGACGCGAGCUAGAUGGUGCUUGACUUCGCGUUUAAAAAGAAUAAAACAAAAUGGUUGAAAAUAGCUUUGUGCUGAAAAUGUUUACUUUCACAUUAAAAAAAAAAGAAAAAAGAAACAAACAUCAGUGAAAAAACCAGUUUUUAUUUUUCAUCUGUUUAUGGCAAUUACAAGCAUAAGACUUUUUUUUUAUUAAACAAGGAUAUACCCUAUUUUAGAGAACGGAGUUGGCGUCGGCUAAAAAAAACCUACUCGCCUAAAUCGACGGGUGAAAACGAAAGAAAACAAAAUCAAAACAAAAGAAAAGAAAAGAAGAUAGAGGCCAAGUGAGCCGAACAAAACUUGAAGAAACUCCAAAAAAAAAAGGAGCAAACACUUAACCGAUGCCCAAGUCGCACUCUUCAAGUCAAGUCCCGAGCGACGCAUUCCACAAUCGGACCGAGCAUAAGACUAAAAUUAAUGGACUCCCUCUCACUCUCACUUGUCAUAUUCAUAUUCAUUUUCACUAUUUUUAUUUUACGUCAAAUCAAAUACUAGAAAAAGUGAGCAUUUCUUUUCACGAAAAUUACUUUUCUUUUUUUUAAAUAGCUUUUAAUAAUUUUACGUAGGCCCAAACGCGACAUAAGCUAAUCACAAGCCAAACGAGCCGGUUGUGCGAGCCCAGAUCGAGCCAACUCUAGAGCCGAAGCUAGGCCGGCCCAUGGGCCCUUGAGGUAUGUAUUGGAAGAUGAUCUUAGGACGGCAUUUCUUGUUGGCGGCGAAACCAAGCUGCAAACCUCCAAAUCGCCUCCUCCCUCGUCACCUUCUCCUCCGCAACAUUCCUAUCCGACGACCCACAACUCUACAAUGGCUCUCCUCCUAGCAUAUGAAGCUCAAAUUUUGAAUUUCUUAUCAUUUUUUAAAAAUAAAUUAUUACCUAGUCUUAAAAAUGAGUAUUUUUGUUUUUUGUUUUUUGUUUAUAUAUAUAUAUAUAUAUAGCAUUGUUCUCCUCGCGCCGGCCUUUUUAAGUUUUUGCCAUUUUAAAUUAAUCCUACCUUUUGUUAAUAUUCACGCUUCCACAAUUUACACCAGUAUAUAAACAACCCAUGCACACACACAUCCCCCUCAUCAUCACCACCUCCUCUUUACGAAUCAUAAUGGAAACGCUCGCUACACCCAUUUUUCUCCUUUUAUUACUCUCCAGUUCUUACUCACUAAGAGCAGCUGACGCCGCCGCCGACGACGACCGCGAUCGGCUGGCGACUUACAUAGUCCACGUGCAACCUCCGAAAUCCGCCCCGGCGUUCGCCACCGUCGACGAGCAAAAAUCAUGGUACAAGUCGUUCCUCCCGUCGGGCUCCGCCGACGACCGGCUGGUCCACGCGUACACCACCGUCGUCACCGGCUUCGCCGCCAGGCUCUCCCCGAAAGAGCUUGACGACGCGUCGAAAAUGCCCGGCUUUGUCGCGGCCUACCCCGACCAGCUUUACUCGCUCCAGACGACUCACACGCCGGACUUCCUUGGGUUGACGCUGGCAGGAGGGGUGUGGAAUGUUUCCGACUUCGGAAAAGGGAUCAUCAUCGGAGUGCUCGAUACGGGGGUCUUCCCCGACCAUCCUUCGUUCAGCGGCGACGCGAUGCCGCCGCCCCCCGCGAAGUGGAAGGGGCGGUGCGAGUUCAAUGCUAGCCAGUGCAACAACAAGCUCAUCGGCGCCAGGGCUUUCCUCAGCGGAGCGAAUGCGAUGAAAGGCGCCGGAGUGGGCUCAUCCGCUUCCCCGAUAGACGAGGUGGGCCACGGGACCCACACCACAAGCACGACAGCCGGAGCGGGGGUGCCAGGCGCGCAAGUGCUCGGGAAUGCGAAGGGCUACGCCGUCGGGAUGGCGCCCCUCGCGCACGUCGCCAUGUACAGGGUGUGCGGCCUCGAAGACUGCGCCAGCUCCGACUUGCUGGCCGGCAUGGACGCCGCCGUGGCAGACGGAGCAGACGUCCUAUCUCUUUCCAUCGGAGGACCGUCUGUGCCCUUCUAUGACGACAGCAUCGCGCUCGGCGCGUUCGGGGCCAUAGAGAAGGGGGUGUUCGUCAGCUGCGCGGCCGGGAACGGGGGCCCGGACCCGAGCUCCCUGUCGAACGAGGCCCCGUGGAUCCUCACGGUCGCGGCGAGCACGAUGGACAGGAGCAUAAGGGCGACGGUACGGCUCGGCAACGGCCUCGAACUCGACGGCGAGUCGACUUUCCAGCCGCAAAUGUCGGCCACGACAUUCUACCCGCUGGUUUACGCCGGAGACAGCGGCAAGCCGAGUGCUGAGUUCUGUUACAACGGCUCGUUGGACGGGUUCGACGUGAGGGGGAAGAUCGUGUUGUGCGAGGUCGGCGACGGCGUCGCGAGGAUUGUCAAGGGGGCCGUCGUGCAGAGCGCCGGCGGCGUCGGCAUGGUCCUCAUGAAUGCACCUCCCUACGGAUACACCACCCUCGCCGACGCCCACGUCCUUCCAGCAUCGCACAUCAGUUAUGCCGACGGAUUGAGCGUGCAAUCGUACCUCAACAAAUCAUCCAGUCCGGUCGCAGCUAUCAUCUUCAAAGGCACCGUGCUCGGAACUUCCCCAGCUCCCGCGAUCGCCGGGUUCUCUUCCCGUGGCCCGAGCCUUGCCAGCCCGGGGAUCCUGAAGCCCGACAUCGCCGGCCCUGGCGUAAGCGUCCUCGCCGCAUGGCCCUUCCCGGUCGGCCCGCCGACCGUGACCUCCCCGGGGCCGCAAUUCAACAUUAUAUCCGGCACGUCCAUGGCGACGCCGCACCUGAGCGGAAUCGCCGCGCUGAUAAAAUCCGCGCACCCCGACUGGUCGCCAGCCGCAAUCAAAUCCGCCAUCAUGACAUCCGCCGACGUAGUCGACCGCAGCGGCAACAUGAUAGUCAACGAGCAGCAUGUCUCCGCCGACUUCUUCGCAAUCGGCGCCGGCCACGUCAACCCGAACAAGGCGAGCGAUCCCGGCCUCGUCUACGACCUUUCCGCAGACGACUACAUCCCGUACCUCUGCGGCUUGGGCUACACGAGCGGGCAAGUGACGGUGAUCGCCCGCCGGACCAUCGACUGCUCGUCGGUGAAGAGCAUCGCCGAAAGCCAACUCAACUACCCGUCGAUCACGGUCUCCUUGACGCUGACCUCGUCAUCCAUCGCCGUCCGAAGGACAGUGAGGAACGUCGGGGAGGCGGCGUCGGUGUACGCCGCCGAGGUGGAUUUGUCGGAUCGAUUGCGCGGAAUGGUGGUGCCGAGCAAGCUCUACUUUACCGAAGUGAACGAGGAGAAGAGCUUCUUGGUGAUCAUCUCAAAGAGAGCGAAUAUUAAUAGCGGUGAAGUGUUGCAGGGGUGUUUGAAAUGGGUUUCGGAGACGCGCGUGGUGAGGAGUCCGAUCUCGGUCUCCUUCAUGGACUAAGGAGUUUGGUUCGGAAAAAUACUUAAAGCCAUUGGUCGGAGAAUUUCUGAUUGCUCACCGCAAAAGUAACACGAAUCUUAAAUUCAUAUGAACGGAAAAUAAAAUAAUCACGUGGGGGGGGAGAACCGUUUGUUUAAUUGAUCCUAAGUAAUUUUGGGUCGUUUAAAUCGAUUAUGUUUCUUAAUUAAUUUACAAAGUAUUGGUUUUAAUGGAGAUGAUUAAUGGCUAGAAGUAUCCAUGAUCUAAUUUACAGUAAAGUAGGGAGCUGUUUAAAAAGUGUUAUUAAUUAUCACUAAAAUACUAUAGCCAUUUAAAGUUUUAAUUGGUAUAUAAUUUUGUUUAUUACUUUUUUUACCAUUUAUUAUUUGAAAGAGGCUUAUAAUUCCUUUCAUAAGAUCCUUUUUAAUUAAUCUAAAACUAACAAACUGAAUUUGGAUGAAUUUCCUAUUUAGUACUCAUGUUGUUGGUUUAUAAUUUACAGUUUUCUUUUAUCUUUUAGUAUCAUAUUAUUAUUCUUUUUGGAAAAAUAUAUAAAAACUUAUUGAACUUUAUUUUUUUUGCAAAAAGUUGUCUGAACAUUCAAUAAUGGUAAUUAGACAUGUUAAAAAUUUUAUUAAGUAGUUUAAUUAAUCAUUUUUUCAAUUACAUGUAUAAAUUGUACAAUUAUUUUUAAGUAGUUGUUUGUAUUGCAUAUAAUUUUUUUAAGUUUCAAGACACAAAAUAAAUUAUAUUUGUAACAAAUAAAAAAAAAUUGAAGUUUAUUCAACAUAUUCUUGGAUCAUAACACUUAAUAAACAAAAUUGAAAGAGAAAAAUAAUUUUUUUUUUACAUUUGAAAGUGGUAUAGAAUUUUGUACAUGACAAUCAGUUAAAAUUACUGUAUAAUUAAUAAAUUUAUAAAGUUUUAAAAAAUUAUUAAAUUAGUAUAUAAAAUUUACAAAAUAUAAUAUUAAAAUUGAAAGUUACAUAUGCCUGUUUUCAAAAUAGCUAAAGUUUCCGGAGGUCUACAUUUUUUCCUAUUAUUGUCUAACACCCACAAAAUUAUUCCCUAUGUUCAAUUUUUGAUGAAACAAGUGCAUUAAUAUUUCAAUCUUCAGGCUUCAGGAAGAGAAAGUUAGCUAAAAUAAAAAUUGGCGCAACGUCUCAUCAUGUAAUCAAAAAAAAUUACUGUGAAACCAAACAUAGCACAUGCCAAAUUUCAUGCUUGCCAACUAAAAAAGAUUGAAAAAAUAUGAGUAUAUACCCCAUAUACUAAGAUUUUAAAAAUUUAUUAAAAUUUUAGUUAAAAAAAAUUAUUAAGAUAAGUAAAAAUGUUCUAACUAUAAAAGAUUAGAAUAUAUUAUAUUUAUAGUAUAAAAUAUAUAUAGUAUUACUUAAAAUAGUAGUAUUACGGAUUCAACAGUGGGGAGCUUUAACUUUUUAUAUUUCAAUUAUGAGGGAACAUCUGAGGAAUGGUCCAAUUUAUAUGUAAUCGCAGAAUUUCGCAAUUCCAAGUUUCCAACCAUAUAAAGAAAAACAUUGUAUAAGUGCCCAUAAUUAAUUAAGUAAUUAAUUUUACACCAAGUAAAUGGAGAUUGGGCUCCUAACAACGUGUUUGUCCGAGACCCACUUCAACUGCCCCUGAACCACGCCGGAAACCCCACCGGUUCUUCUGAAGAUGAUCCUGAACCUCUUCUUCUGGUUCACCUUACUAAACUGCAGCAUCAGCGGCUUCACGCGCACCGACACUCCCUCCGGCACCUCGAUCUCUGGCCGAUACGUUGCGGGCACCUCCCCGACGUUCGUCACAGUCCGAAUGUACCUCACCGAUCUCGGCGGCGUCGCCGCAAGCGUCACCGUUAUCGACGGGUAGUUGAGCUCCCCUUCUGUGAUGUUCUUCACCCCUGCGCAGCUCGCGUGGCUCUGUGGCGCUACGACUGACGUCAAUUGAAUGUCGGAGUAGCCCAAGCCGCAGAGAUAAGAGAUGUAGUCCUCCGGCGCAAUGUCGUAAACAAGUCCUGGGUUUAAGGCUUUUUGCGGGUCGAUGUGUCCGGAGCCGAGCGCAAAGUAGUCCGCUGGAAGGCGCCGCUCGUCCAAGAUCGGAUUACCGCGGCGGUCCGUCACGUAAGCGGUGGUCAUCAUGGCCGAUUUGAUCGCCGCAGGCGACCAGUUCGGGUGAGCGCUCUUUAUCAGUGCGGCAACGCCGCUAAGGUGUGGGGCCGACAUCGACGUGCCGGAGAUCAUGUUGAACCUGGUGGUCAGGGUUUUCACAGGCGGGACCGGCCAUGCAGCGAGGACACUCACGCCCGGGCCGGUGAUGUCGGGCUUUAAAAUUCCGGGGCUCUGCUUGUUCGGGCCCCGCGAGGAGAACGAAGUGAUCGCCGGAGACCGCGGCGUGCGCAUGCGCGUUCCUUUGAAGAGGAACGUUGCCGUCGGGCUCGCGGUGGAGUUUAUGUAUUCCUUUAUCUUGUUGCCGUCGGCGUAGCUGAUGUGCGAGGCUGGGAGGACAUGGGGGUCGGCCAGGGUGCUGUACCCGUCGUUGGGGCCGUUCAUGAGGAUCAUGCCGGCGCCACCCGCAGCGAGCACGACAUUGCCCUUGUCGGUGCGCCCACUGCCGCCGCGCUCGCACAGCACGAUCUUCCCGCGGAUGUCGACCCCGUCCAACGUGCCGUUCAGACACUGCGACGUCGCAUUCGUGCUCCCGCCGAUGGCGCCGGCAAAGACUAGAGGGAGCAUCGGCUGCCCAAAGUCGCGCGGCUGGUUCAGCGUCUCGCCGUCAAACUCAAUUCCAUUGCCGAGCUUCACGGUCGACGUUAUCUGCCGGUCCAUGGUGCUCGCCGCCACCGUCAGUAUCCACGGCGCCUCAUUCGAGAGCUUUUUCGGGUCAGGCCCAGAGUUACCGCCAGAGCAGCUGACGAAGACACCCUUCUGGAUGGCGCCGUAGGCACCUACCGCGGUCAGGUCGUCCCAGAAAGGCAACGACUGGCCGCCAAGGGAGAGUGAAAGAAUGUCGGCCCCGUCACAGAGCGCGGCUUCCAUUCCACAAGCUAUAUCCAGCCCACCGCACAGGUCAUCCUCACACACCUUAUAUAUUGCUACAUGCGCGCGCGGCGCCACACCGGCCGCAAUUCCCCGUGCCUGGCCGAACACGUUGGCGUGCCUCACGAAAUUGCCCCCGGCAGUGCUCGCCGUGUGGGUGCCGUGCCCGUCAAUGUCGAACGGCGCGUCCCUGCUCUGCAGCUUAUUCUUGGAGUCAAUGAACGAGCGCGCGCCGAUGAUCUUGUUGUUGCAGGUGGCAGAGCCGUUCUUGAAGUCGCACCGGCCCUUCCACCGCGCGGGCGGCGGCGGCAUCCCCGUAUCGUCGAACGAAGGGUGGUCGGGAGCAAUGCCGGAGUCGAGGACCGCGAUGAUCACGCCCUCCCCCAUGUUUGACGUGUUCCACACGCCGCGGUUGCGGCGGCGGAGGCCCAGGAACUGCGGAGUGUGGGUGGUCAUGAGCUGGUACAUCCGAUCCGGAAUGGCAGUUAGGAACCAUUCCUUGGUUUUCAUUGCCUCCAAUUCCUUCUCCGUGAGGCUCGCGCCGAAGCCGGUGGUGAUCUCUUGGAAGGAGUAGAUAAGCCGGGGAUGCAAACCUGGCGCGUCAUUGUUGUUGUCAUCGACCGACGACAACCCGACGAUGGGAACGACGGAUGACAAUAGAGAACUGUACCAGCCGGCUGGGUCGGCUUCGCCUUCAUUGAGCCCUGCCUCCUCCAGCUGCGCUACGCCCUCGGGGCGCCGCACGAGCACAAGGUAUCUCUUCAAUUCGUCGUCGCCGCCGUCGCGAGUCUCCUGACCCACGACGACAGCGGAGGGAAGGAAUGAUAGGAAGGAAGAAGAACAGAGGACGAGGAGGAGGAGGAGGAGGGGCACCUUUGGCGAAGCCAUUGAAGGGAGGUCACAAGAAAUGCUUACGAGAGGGAUUAUAUAUAAAUAUACAGGGCUUAACUAGGGGGAAAAUUGGGAUUAAAAUGGAAGGUUAGAGAGCGGAAGGGGCGGGUUGGGGGAGUGCCUAAUUUAGUUGAGUUUGAGAUGGAAGAUCUAAAUAUUGUGUGGUUUAAGAAUUAAGAUGCAAAUAGUGAUAUGGUUUUAUAAGUUAACAGUAUCAGGCGGAAUCUGACGCUGUAAUGAUCUCGUUUACUGUUUCUGGAUCGGUGCGACGGUUGAUCGAGGAGAUCCCAUCUAACAGAGAAGCACAGUUCCUCUUUACGAUGUGCGCGUUCAGAGCCAUGCGAUGAAUAAUUUGAAGGUUUAAUGAUGGUGAAUUUAAUAAAGCAGUUUUGCAUUGUAAAAAAGAAAAAAAAAAGAAGAAACACAGAAACGAAUAAUGUUACAGGACUCUUAAGGAUGUAUCUGAUUAUGUAGUUGAUUUAUAAGUUUUACGCACAUUGCAUACUAGCAUCGUCGGCCAGUUAUUAGCAGGUUAACUCGUAUUUAGAUCUUAGUCGGCUAAUGAACUGGGCAAGUUUUCAACUUAGCCUAGUGCACUUAUGUUUGGCUCUAUAAAAGUCAUUCGGCCGACGAAUGACGAGACAUUUGGCUGAGGGGUGCAAUGUGCAAUGGCAGAAGCAUGUGAGUUUGAAUUGCUUCAAUUCUGAAGCUUUGAACAGACACAAUGCGGUUUAUCUCAAGCUUAGUUUGGUAUUGAAAUCUAUCUGACGUUAUUAGAUAAAAUAAAAUUAUGAUAAAAAUAUAUAGGAAUAUAUUUCUGUGUUUUUCGAUAGGACCGUAAAAAAUAUAUUAUAACCGUCUGCGGAAAGUAAUAUUAUGUACAAAAAUAAACAAGAUAUUUUUUCAUCAUACUUUCUCGCCGCACGUAACGCAAUCUCCCCGCAAUCUCAAACGAAGCCCCACUCAAUUGCCACAAUGCUAGCCCAAACAAUUCCUCACUUAUCUUAAGCAGUACAAUUUAAUGAACGGUUGGUCGGGUUCAAGCAAAGUCUCGUUGCCCACGAACUUAUCGGGCCUGGUUAAGAACAGGCCUGUAAAACCUUAAUGGGCCGCCUCAUCUAGUAACAUAGCAGUAGUAUACUUGUAUUUGUUGCCUAGAGACAGACCUAUAUAGCCUUUGGAAAAAAAGAGAAAUCAAAAAAAAAAAAAACUAACAGAAAAGAACAGUAAUGUAAUAUUGGUUGGUUUAAAAGUUUUUUUUUAAUUUAAAAAUAUCAAAUCCUGGUGGUCCGGGGACAACGAAUUCCAAAGCAACGGUCUUACUAAUAGUCAGACCGGUCAACAGUCAACCCCUCUUCUUCUAGUUUUAUUGACAUUUCGAUAAUUGUAUAAGAACAUUUGCAUCAUCUUCUUUGCAAACAUUACGCCCAUUAAACUCUAGCAUCAAUUAAAUAUGGGCAUAAACUCUAGUUACUGAUAGUCUCACUAGUCACUAGUCAACUCUAAAGUUGCUUAGUUUAUGCUAGUUUUACUGGAAAUUUUUCUAACUCAAUACUAGGUUUAAGUACAUGCUUAAAUAAUGGUUUAUCUUUUAAAGCACUCUAAUUAUACAAGUAAACUGUGUAAAACAUUGGUAAUUAAGAAGUUAAAUAAGCUUCUGAACACCAAAAACAAAAUUCCUUCCUCCUUAUUUCCCUUUUUACUGCAGCUUAAUUAAAGCUCUAGGGCCGGUGAGUGAUAAAAAGAUAAUUCUUUUUAUAUAUAAAUCUAUCGAAAAAUACUUCUGUUGAAACCUGGCUUGAGCUAAAUAAGCCGUAAAAAAAUUGACUUGGACAACAACUACAACCUCAACUAGUGUUUGAUUCCUCUAUUUAAUUAAUCAGCCAAACCCAAAUUUUAGCCUUUUAAAUUGGAUGCUACUUUAGCUGAACAAUCCUUUAAUUAAUUUCAAUGAAGAUACGUUUACUUAGGAUCGGCAACUAUAUAUUUAAAUUCUUCCCCAAAACCAAACUAUAGAUAACGAAUAUUGUAAAGCAGAAUAUAUAUACGAGCACAAAUGCUGAACCAAAGAAACAAGUAUGCUAUACACAGUUCAAUAUAAAUUAUAUACACUCACCAAUCCCGCACACGUGCAAGCCGCACGUGCCUUCAUUCAUGAAGCACUUUCACCACCUUCACAAAAAUAUUCACUAGGCUAAUUAAAAGGUCUAGGUCUGAGCCGUCCAAUAACACUUUGUAAAAUCUCAAAUUAAGCUGAGUUCAAAGUGCCACACCACGACUCAGAUCCAAUCCAAUUCUGAUAACUUUUGUUUGUCAAACAGACGUUUCAAUCCAUAAGAUUGAUCUCAGUUCUUUGGCUUUGGAUCGAUCCCUGCGGGCGGAUGUGGCGGUGCAAACCUGGAUGAGAAGUUCCGGCGAAUUCGCUCCCCCUCCUCCUCGUCCCCCUCAAAUCCCCCAUCGUCAAAAUUCUGCGCGUAGCUCAGCGGAUCGUAGUUUAAGCUCCCCCUCCUUGUAUAUAACUUAUUACCUCUACUGCGUCCGCGCUCGCUCUGAAACCUCUUGAGCCUCCGCCACACCGCCGAGAGCCGGAGGCGGCCCCAGCACGAGAAGAUCCCGCGCCGCUGCCGCACCGACUCCUCCCCCUCCUCUUCGUCCAACGCCGGGAGCCUCUCCAUGUGUAGUUUUUUUCUUUCUUUCUUUCUUUUUUGAUAAAAUUGGAGAGUGUGGGAUACGAAUGAUUUGUUAGAUAAGCGAUUGGUGGGGGGAGUUGGCCACAUGAAACCAUGUUGGUUGGGACCGAACGGAGGCGCAACGGAUGCCGUUCGAUUCGGAACGUGCGGAUGCGAUUGACAUGAGGUGAUGAUCUCUCAAUAGUGGUCUGUAGACAGAGCUUGGGUCCUUGCAUUUAAUUUUGUUAUCUUUUUGGAUGUGAGGGGCGUAUAACGCAAUUGGGCACAUUCCAGGUUGGAGAAGGGAAUCUUAUCAUACAGGAGGUACAAGAAAAGCUGUCCCACUCGUUGCGGGCCUAGCGUGUGAAUUUUUUUUUUUUUUGGUUAGCUUAAUUUGGCUUUCACAUACAUUUGAGUCUAAAGAGUCCAAGUUUAUACACUGCUUAAAUAUGUUAAAUAUAAAAAUAUAAAAAUACUACUUUUUAAUAAUUUAAAUUUUUAGAGUACAACGAUUAUUUCAUAUAUUUCACAAAAGAUAUUAGUUGUGUAACUUAAUUAUAAUUGGAUCACUAGCCAGUAUAUUUAAGCAAAGCUAAGUGAGGAGAUUACAUACCAUAUGCGUAUGUCACCACUCGUGAUUUUGUGCUUUAGUUACUUCUCUUUUGGUAUGAGAAUCAUAUAUUUGCUAUAUAUAUAUAUAUAUAUAUAUAUAUAUAUAUUUUAUUUUAUUGUUGGAAAAUUAGUUCUCUUUCAUAUCUUAGUCAAAUAUUUAUAUAAACAAUUUUGUUUGAAGACAACUUAGCACUGUUUUGAAAACGUUGAUUAAGAACGAAAUAAUAAAACUAUAGAGAAUAAAGGAUUAGAUGGAGCCUGUGAGUCGAGGCGUGCGAUUGCACUGUCUAGAAGCAAGAUUGCCCUCCACGUACGAGGCGCCGGCAAUCACUCCUAGCGAAUACAACGACUUCGCCCCCCGUCGGCACGGCUUCAGGGUGGUUGCAAAGAACGAACCGUCACAGCUUUUAGAGAUCCAGCAAACAGUGAAGAAGAAGGAGAAGAGAGAAAAGGGAGGAGCUCGGGUUAGGGUUUCUGUAUGUCACUUCUCACCUAACCAGCGCUCACCCCUAGUAAAUGAGAGCAAAAGAAGAGUUCCAACGGGAAGACCCCUUCCGCAGGUAGACGUUGGGGCUGGUUGACAGUCCCGAGCGUGCGGACCUUUCGACUGGACACAAAUUCGGACCUAAUCCAGGUUAAGGUCAAAAAUAAAAUAAUAAAAUGAAAAGUGUAACAAAAAUAAAGUGAACCGGGUUCACGCGCGCCGCCGCCCGGCCCGGCUCAGCUCGUGCCGUGCGCGCGUGUAUUUAGACGAGAGCUCCACUCUCAUCACUUCCCAAGUAAUAACAAUGAGAAUAAAGAAGUAUAUAAACCAAAGCAAGUGAGGGUCUCUUUCCAAUGUGGGACUAAACACCACAUGAAAAGAGACCAAAGCUUGGGCUCCCAGGCAAGGCCCAUUGACAGUGGGCUGCCCACAAAGUCCAAAGAUCAAAUUUAAGUUUUAAUACAUAUGGGCUUUUAAAGAAGUUUUAAAUCACUUGUUUUAAAAUCAAAAUACCAACAUAUAUAUAUAUAUAUAUAUAUAUAGUUGCAUGCAUCUGAAAUAUUUUGGGUUUUUCCAAAAAAAUAAAAUCUUUGUAUGUGUUAGUAAACCACAUAUAGGUUCGUGCAAAUCAACAACUCAGAAUGACAGCAUUCUAUGAACUCAGUAAUACUUUUCUUGUUACAAUUAAUAUUGUGAGUUCUUACAUAUCAUUGUAAUGUUUUUUGAGAGAUAGAUAGCAUGCUACUCGCUUCGUUUAUUUCAUUUAGAAAUAAACUUAGCUGGAAAUGUGAAUCAACUUAGGAUUCGAACUUGGGUCUCGGAUACCAACCAUCAAGCCCUUUGCCACUACAUACAGUUUCUAUAAAUAUAGCGAAUUAUAAAUGUAUGCUUAUAAAGUUCAACUUCCUUAUAUUAUUUCUAUAAAAAUUUUAAUAUUUUCAAAUAUGCCAAUGUUAUUAGAAUUUGUUAGAAAAUUUUAGUUAACCAUAGAAAAACACUUAACCCUGAUUAGCCAAUAAAAUAAAUUGAUAUUUUUAUACCUCUGAUAUUAUAUCUUAUUCUCUCUCCUCUCGAGGCACCGUUUGGAUAGGGGAUAGGGGAUAGGGAUAGGGAUAGGGAUAGGGAUAACCCCUUAUCCCCCUUUAUACCAAAACACUAAUUUUUUAUUCGAGAAUAGUAGUUCUCGGUUACUUAUAAUAACCGGGUAUAACUAUCUCCACCAACACCUCCAUUUUCUAUAUAAAACUAUCCACUAUUUUUCUUAUUUCAUAUUAUCUAUCCAAACGCUACUUUUCUUAUCCCCGAGAACAACCCAAUUUUCAUCCAAACACUAUUUUCUUAUCCCCAUACUUGUACAUAUCCCUGUAAUAGCUAGUUCUUACUUAUACCCGAAUCAAACACUACCAUUUAUAAAAAUCCAGCAAUGGAUUCUCUUUUUCUUCAUCUUCGUCUUUCUUUUUCUCCUGCAUGCUAGUUUCGAAUCCAUAACUAAAAUUUCUCCAUCCCAUUCAUCCAUGACACAUGUUAUUUCGCCCAUUCGAACAUGUGUUGCUUCCCCAUUUAAUUUACUCUAUGAUUAAAUUUUUUUGCUAAAAAAAUUUUAGGAGAAAAGAAGUGAGAGAAGAGGUUAUAACAAUGGUGGAUUGAAUUUGAUUUUAAAGAGAGAAAAGAUAACCACUGAAAAUUUUUUAGGAAAAUAUUUCUGCACGAUUAUAACAGUUGGGCUUUUGAAGGGACAUAUUUGUGAUGAUAAAAUUGAUAUUUUACUUAUCUGCUGUUAAAAAAUAAAUAGUUUUCUAAUGGUAACAAAUCAGACGGACAAGUAUGAAUAUCACUGAACUUUUGCAGGAAUAAUAAUUAAAAAUUGAACUUUGUAAGGUUAUAUUUACAAUUCGCUAUGUUUAGAGAAAGCUGUAUGCAAUUAACUUUUUCAUAAACUACUAGUAUAUUAGUUAGCAUUUAUAGCAUUCUUAGUUUGUACAUGUAUGAACCAGGUAAAAUUUUUAUGUUCGAAAUUUUUGAUAGAACUAAUAUGUAAAUUUGAAUUAAAUUGAAAAAAAAUAAUUAAAUAAUGCUAGAAUCGAAUUCAAUACUUCUUAUUCUGAUAUCAUAUUAAAUUUUAUUUUAUACAAUAAUUAUUAUUUUUAAAAAAAUUUAAACUACUAGUGAAUAAUAUUUUAAUAUUUAUGUUUGACAAGUGCAAGAGUAGCGUAUUAACGCAGCGAAUUGUAAGAAAUGUAUCUAUACUUAAUUGGAUUCAUAAGUGAAGUCCCAAUCACAGGUAGAGGCGUGUGCUAAUGUGCGAACAAUUUUAAUUCGGAAUUUUAUACUUAUUAUUCGUGGGAAUAUCCAGUUCUCGUCUGCCUCAAGCUCGUUAAUUUUCCUAGACCAUUAUAUACACAUAAUGAUAGCAAAAAUAAAUAAAUAAAAAAAUAAAAAGAAAUUUAAAAAACCUUUUCCUACAUCCCUAUUAUUAUAUUUACUCAAAUUUUCUAAAAAAAUACAUAUUUUGAAUGAGCAAAUGAGGAAACACACAUCUUGUUAUGCCGCAAAAUAAACAUGGACAUAAUACUUUAAAAAAUCUCCCUAUGUGGCUCUGUGGGAUAAUCAGUGUUUAUUAAUUAUUGUUGACAAAUUUAAAAAACAGUCCAAUCAAAAAGCGAAAAAAAAGCUUUUGCUCUGAAAUUCUAAGGAAGCAAGAAAAAAUUUCUACUAUCUUUUUUUUGUGUAUUGUCAAACUUAUGCAUUCAACGUGCACAUAGAAUUUACGUUUGAAUAAAAAAAAAAAAUUUAAAAAUGGACAAUAUUGGGCCUUGUAUGAGGGCUAUUAUUAAAUUAAAAAUAAAAGCCCGCUAAGCCCAUUUAAGGCCCGGCCCAUGUAGGGGGCUCGUCUUGUUGUAUACGAUUCGAACACACCGUCGUUUUCCUUUCACUGUUUCACUCCGCCACUCUCACGUUCGACGCUGGAGGGAACGCCCAAAAUCAAAACGCAAAGCUUCGACUGAUCCCUCACUCCACUGAGAGGAACCCUAACCCUUGUUCCCGAGGCUAAUGGCGAGCGNAGCAUUCUAUGAACUCAGUAAUACUAUUCUUGUUAUAAUUAAUAUUGUGAGUUCUUUCAUAUCCUCGUAAUGUUAUUUUUAUAAAAAUGUUAUUUUUAUAAAGAGUUAAUUAUAUACAGUUUCUAUAAAUAUAGCGAAUUAUGAAUGUAUGCUUAUAAAGUUCAACUUUCUUAUAUUAUUUCUGUAAAAAAUUUAAUAUUUUCAAAUAUGCCACUGUUAUUAGGAUUUGUUAGAAAAUUUUAGUUAACCAUAGAAAAAAUACUUAAUCCUAAUUAGCCAAUGAGAUAAAUUGAUAUUUUUAUCCCUCUGAUAUUAUAUCUUAUUCUCUCAAUAAAAAUCUAGCAAUGGGUACUCUUCUUCUUCAUCUUCGUCUUUUUUUUCUCCUACAUGCUAGUUUCGAAUCCAUAACUAAAAUUUCUCCAUCCUAUUCAUCCAUGAUGCAUGUUAUUUAAUUCGCCCAUUCAAAAUUGUGUGGCUUCCCCAUUUAAUUUAUUCUAUGAUUAUUUUUUUUGCUAAAAAAAUUUUAGGAGAAAAGAAGUGAGAGAAGAGGUUAUAACAAUGAUGGAUUGAAUUGAAUUUUAAAGAGAAAAAAGAUAACCACUGAAAAUUUUUUAGGAAAAUAUUACUGCACGAUUAUAACAGUUGGGCUUUUGAAGGGAUAUAUUUGUGAUGAUAAAAUUGACAUUUUACUUAUCUGCUGUUAAAAAAUAAAUAGUUUUCUAGCAGUAACAAAUCAGACUGACAAAUAAGAAUAUCACUGAACUUUUGCAGGAAUAAUAAUUAAAAAUUGAACUUUGUAAGGAUAUAUUUACAAUUCGCUAUGUUUAGAGAAAGUUGUAUGCAAUUAACCUUUUUAUAAACUACUAGUAUAUUAGUUAGCAUUUAUAGCAUUCUUAGUUUGUACAUGUAUGAACCAAGUAAAAUUUUUAUGUUGCAUAUGACAGGAUUGUUAAAAUAUAAAAAAUAUAUUAUUUUUUAAAAAUUUAAGCUAUCAAAAAAUAAUAUUGUUAAUAUAUAUAUAUAUAUAUAUAUAUAUUCUCUAACAUUUAGACUCGAAAUUUUUGAUAGAACUAAUAUGUAAAUUUGAAUUAAAUUAAAAAAAAUAAUUAAAUAAUGCUAGAAUCGAAUUCAAUACUUCUUAUUCUGAUCUCAUAUUAAAUUUUAUUUUAUACAAUAAUUAUUAUUUUUAAAAAAUUUAAACUACUAGUGAAUAAUAUUUUAAUAUUUAUGUUUGACAAGUGCAAGAGUAGCGUAUUAACGCAGCAAAUUGUAAGAAAUGUAUCUAUACUUAAUUGGAUUCAUAAGUGAAGCCCCAAUCACAGGUAGAGGCGUGUGCUAAUGUGCGAACAAUUUUAAUUCGGAAUUUUAUACUUAUUAUUAUUCGUGGGAAUAUCCAGUUCUCGUCCAGCCUCAAGCUCGUUAAUUUUCCUAGACCAUUAUAUAUACACAUAAUGAUAGCAAAAAUAAAUAAAUAAAUAAAUAAAAGAAAUUUAAAAAACCUUUUCCUACAUCCCUAUUAUUAUAUUUACUCAAAUUUUCUAAAAAAUAUAUAUAUUUUGAAUGAGCAAAUGAGGAAACACACAUCUUGUUAUGCCGCAAAAUAAACAUGGGCAUAAUACUUUUAAAAUCUCCCUCUGUGGCUCUGUGGGAUAAUCAGUGUUUAUUAAUUAUUGUUGACAAAUUUAAAAAACAGUACAAUCAAAAAGCGAAAAAAAAGCUUUUGCUCUGAAAUUCUAAGGAAGCAAGAAAAAAUUUCUACUAUCUUUUUUUUGUGUAUUGUCAAACUUAUGCAUUCAACGUGCACAUAGAAUUUAUGUUUGAAGAAUUUUUUUUUUUUUUUUUAAAAGGACAAUAUUGGGCCUUGUAUGAGGGCUAUUAUUAAAUUAAAUAAAGAGCCCGCUAAGCCCAUUUAAGGCCUGACCCAUGUACGGGGCUCGUCUUAUUGUUUACGAUUCGAACACACCGUCGUUUUCCUUUCACUGUUUCACUCCGCCACUCUCACGUUCGACGCUGGAGGGAACGCCCAAAAUCAAAACGCAAAGCUUCGACUGAUCCCUCACUCCACUGAGAGGAACCCUAACCCUUGUUCCCGAGGCUAAUGGCGAGCGAGCCGAGUAGAGAAACCCUAACCCUAGCCCUGGGGAAGCGGAAGAUCGCGGAGGAGGAGGAGGAGGAGGAGGAGGAGGACGAAGAGGAGGAGGAGAGGGAGAUCCGUGAGCUCGAGCGCGAGGUGGGCGAUUUGGGCCGUAGGAUCUUGGAUUACCGGAGGACGAUCCCGGAUCGGCUCCUCGAGGCUCUCUCCGCAAGCCUCGUCGCGCAGAGGCCGCUUCUUCCGCCGCAGAGCGGUAGCGGAUCCUUUCCCUCCGACCUAUCCCUCGCGCCCGAUAUCGGUGGCAAUCGAACUACUGGUACGAUUCUAGGGUUUCCGUUAUCAGGAUGUUGUUUGGUUUAAAUCCUUGUGUUCAUGUUAGGGUUUGAAGCUCAUAAGUAGUUUCAGGGUUUUUAUGUGCAAUUUUGUUUCGUAUCAUGCAUAUAAUUAGGUUAAAUGAGAAUGGGUAUAGUGAUGCUUUGCUUGUGGAUAGUAGAGACACAAAAUUGGAGUCUGUGGGACGAGGUUUUAGAAAGUGAACUAUCCUACAAAUUCAUACUUUUCUGGAGCCCUUCCAUGGCCAUUUAACAAGAUUUAGAACGAAUGUCCUUUAUAAAUCGAGGUAUUGAUAUUCAGGUCAUUAAGGCCCUGUUUUGCACUUAGUGCUGGGAAAAUGAGUUUACUUUUUAGGAGCUGGUAAUCUUGCUGAAGCUAUUAAUGUUUGAAAGCAAUAUCAGUUUUGAAAUGAUAGACUUUUAACUGUACAUGCUUAUGCAGAAUUAUCUCUCGCUCCUCUAUGCUGUUGCACCAUGUCCAAAGAACUUCCUUUAGAGGUUGCCACAUGAUUUAGUGGUUUAAUGAGCCUAAUAUGCAAUCGAGAUGGUUGUUCACUCCGCUAGCACUAGCUGCUUAGCUCUAAUGGCAUUAUCAUGAAUUCUUGUGCACAGUUAGUGUAGCCCAUUGUACUGAAUCUUACACCCAUCUAGGGAGUCGGGAAUGCCCCUAGUGUAUCAUGGUUCUUGCUAGCAUCCUCCAUAUUCAAUUAUCUUGUCCUCAAAUUCAACUAUGCCUAUUGGUGCUAUGUGGCUUCUUUGUACACAGCAAUAUCAUAUGUUUUUGGCAUGCUUCACUUUCAUUCUCAUAUAGUAUAUGUUUAUUUCUCGCUUUAAAGUUUCAACCAACACCCCAUGCACAUUAUUAUUUUCUCCUUGUCCGCUUUCCUCUAUGCUGGAUAGUGUUGUAAAUUGUGUUUUAUUCAAGUCUGAAUGUGACUUCACUGGGCCCUCUCAUUAUUUAAAUUAAUACUUCAAUCACAUAUGGUUAGCAGAUAUUAGCUAUAUUUUCUGGGCAUUCCUAAAGAUUAUGUUAGAAGUAGUUCAAUUUGGUAGUUUCAACUUUCAAGUCGUGGAUAUGUUGUGCCUAUAGAGUUGCUUCUUAACUUGCAGUGCACUUUACUUGUAACAAAUAGUAUGUACUUUUUAGUUUGCGAAUUGCUAAAUUGUUUUUGAUAGAAAAGUAUAUAUGAAACUUUUGUAUCAGCCCCUGGUUGCCCUUUUGAAUAAUUAUCAAAAAAUUACUUAAAUCACUUUGGUAUAAUAGCACUAUUUAGUCUUCCGAGUUAACCUUGAAAAUGGAUUCCACCUUAGUUUUCACGAUAUCAGCAAUACGCCCUUGUGAAUGAUUUGCAGAGGACCGGACACCAUCCGGACUGAGUAAUGGGGCAUUACUUGCAGAAGGAGAUCUAGCAACGCUUGAAAACUUACAGGCUUUCAGAGCCAAAGCUGCUAGCAAUAUUGCUGUGAUGCCCAUCAUAUUGCAAAGAAUGAAUGAAUGCAUCACAAGGAUCGAUAAACUCGAAAAGUGUGAUGUAAACAUACAUUCAGUUUUCAAAAUAAAAAGGUAGUACUGUCGACCAUUUUAUAUUUUAAACCCCUAAUAUUGUAUAUCUAGCAAUUCAGAAUAGUGUUUAUUGUGUGUACCAUUUGUAUCAUCUUGAUUUUGUAGUUGGGAAUUUGGUGAUGUAAUACAGUUCGGAUGAAAGCAGAUCUAAAUCCCAAUGUAUUACAAGCUUCAGGGGGCAUUGUUGGUGCUCUUUCCAUGGCCUCCUUGUUGUUGGUGCCCUCUCUCUGUGGACAUUUUACAUUCACCUUUCGUGAUGAUCGCAAUUGCACAUUGCAUUUUGUGAUUCUGGCAGUUGUUAAGAUGCUUCAAGUUUCAAUUGCUGAUUGUGUUAAUUCAUGUUUUUUGUUUAUGGAAAAAGCAGUUGGUCUUUUUCAUUAAUUUUUGUUAUGUACUGCAGAUCCAUCCGUUCUGAUGAUAGAGCACUUAAAAACAGGUUGUUUAAAUUGUAUAAGUAGAAAAUCACCCACGGAGAGAUCGAUUUAUGAGGUCUAAGCAUGCCAAAAUGUACGAACUUUUGUUUUAUUGAUAAAUUCAGUAAACAUUAGACGAAUAAUAGUAAAUUGUACAAGAAUGAUGUUCAAAUGUCACCUUAGCAGGCACUUAGAACAUGUUGACAAGUUGAGAAUGAAAAUGGCUUAUUCCUGAAGAAACUUGGAAUGCUUCUGGAUGCUAUAUCUAUGCUGUAUUGCAUCGCGUGUCGAUCUUCAGCGAGCAUGUGUUGAAUUUCCACUCACAAAAGGAAUUAGAAAAGAAAAAAAAUUAGAGGAAGUUUUUCUUGCUAAAAAAUAAUAGGAAAAUCUUAGUGUUUAAGAAGCUUUUGAAAUUGCCCUUCAAAUUUGACACCACUUUCAAUUCGAAUUUGGCUUUAUUUUAGUAUAUCUUUGCCUCUCUCAUCUCCACUUUGCAGAAGCCUUGACACUGACCUAGGAAUGCAGUUUCUGCACUCUCAAUUGUACAGCAUCAUCUUCUUUUUGCUCAUUUUCAAUGACUCUAGAAGGUUGUUUCGGAACAUCCAGUGCGCAAAUGGCCUUUAAAAACUCGUACGAUGCAAAGAAGAUGGCUCCUUGAGAGACAUACAUAGCCAACCGCGGAGCCAAGCCCCUGUAAACGGCCAGUAGAAUCAGCAUCUUAUAACAAAGAUUUCAAUACUGUUUUUUUCGUUGUUGUUGUUGUUGUAAAAAUCAUGUACUUAAUAUGUCCGCAACACCCAUACCUAUAGAGACCUUGCAAACCUUCUUGCUUGGUUAUUUCUUGAAGCGCAUGAAGCACACCAUCGUACUUGCAAAGAGUGCCUGGAGUCUGCAUAAAAUAAUUCACUAAAUUUACCAAAAUUGAGUAAAUACAAGAAAAUUCAUUCAUCGCUAUACAUUCAUGUUGUGGGUUACCUGUGUCUGUAACCUCGUCUUUACUACAUCAAAAGGCGUUGUGAAAAGAGCUGCAGUAGAUCCAGCAAGGCCCCCACAUACUAACUGCAAAGAGACUUCUCUCAGUUAGUCCUUUGCUAAGUAUUCGCAGAGCAUCUACCACUAGUGAAAAUUUCAACAGAAGUUAGACAAUAAGCAAGCACAUAAGAGGAAUUUUUGACAGAUGGAAUAAGAUUGACUACUGGGUAAGAGUGAGAUUUCGCAAAAUGCAAAAGUUAUGUCCACCAGACUACGGUAUUCUCAAUGACCGCUAAUAAUAAUAGAGGAUGAUGACCCGCUAAUAGCUAACAAUACGUAGACAUGUGAAAGAAGGAUGCGAAACUUAACUGUUUGCCAUGAGCUAAGAGUAGAAUUAGGUGCUGCUGCUGUCAAAAACAACUGCUUCAGGCGUUCAUAGGUGUAGAACUGCAAGUAAGUUUUUGAAAACUGAGAAUCAUGCUGAGAUUUCAUAAACAAGCAAGUGAAUUGUAUUACACUGCAUAUCGAACAAGCACACAGAGAUGUUCCUUAUAUUCGCCACACCUCUAAAAGCCAAUAUUAACACACUAGUAUUCCAAGUACCUUAAUAACUGAAUGUGGGAUGUUUCUGCAAAGAACUGCACCCCACCCAACAUACAGUGAAGUUAUGCCACCCUUUUCAAGGCAUCCAAUCAAGGCAUUCCUGAUACCACAAGUUUCAAUUAGAGUCUGAUGAACGGGAUCAUGAUAUAUGAAGCACACAAAACACAUGAACAAGCAAGUACUAAAUUUUGCAGCUCACAUCAAGGUUUAUAUGAUUAAGUUUCAAUAUGGAAAACAAAACAGUUACGCAAAAGUUAACAAGAAUAAUUAUUUCCACGCGAAUACUACCAUUAUUGCUUUGAUACAUUGUACCUUCCUUAGUGGUAAGUAAAUACAAGUAGUCACUGCUUUCGCUAACCACACAAACAUAUGCUCUUAACACCAACACAGAGGGCAAGGGAAGGUCUUUUUAUAUUGACUUAAGUUAUUAUAAGAUAAAGAUAUUAAAGAAUUUAUUACCAGCAGUUCUGAUACUGGGAACCCACUUGCAUUUGUUGCUUUAUGCGUUCACUAGGAGUAAAGACAAAAGAAGUUGCUAAGCUUGAACAACCACCAGCAAUGCAGUGUGCUAGAGAAUGGUAUUCCUGGAUAGGAAGAAGCAGGCGAGCUAAGAGAGUCAGAAAAUACGUGUCCUCGAUUUAUUUUUUUAAAAAAAUCUGGACAAAGCAAGAGACAGUAGGUCACCUUUGGAAGAACAGGUAUGAGAGCUCCCUUAACAGAUUCGUAUGUGAAGGUAUAAAUUGCAGAAAUUGGAGCUGAAGAAGUUAUAUUGCUAGAAAUUCCACGGUAAAGUCCCACUACCCCUGUAACGAAAAGGCAAUAUACUGUUAGUAGUGCCCCCCAAUAUUCUGAAAUACAAAAAAAAUAAUAGGGCAUAACAUGAAAAAAAAAAAAGAAGAGUUAAGAUCUUAGGCUCUGGAGUGUAUGAGAUAUAAAGCUGUAGCAAAAACUUCACCCUUUUCAGUCAUGAUAUGCCUAAGGAUGUCAGAGAAGGAUUUUUGACUAGCUCCAUUAGCCUGAAUAAUAGUCUUUAUUGUAUCAAUAGGAUGUAGACAAACGCUAACCAGUGUCCCAGCCAGUGCUCCAGCUAUAGCAUGCCUAUUAACGGCAAAGGCAUUAUGGACCCUUUGUUGCAUGCAUAGCCAAUUAUUCGAAAAGUAAUCCUCCUCAAGAACAUUCAAGUAAGAAGUUAUCUUUUUGUUCUUAUGAACAUCACAAUCCUUGCGGGCAGACUCCUCUACCACCAACUCGCCAAAAGUAGAAUGGGAUUCUAUUGAUUGCUGCUGCUGAGCCUUUAAGCAAUCAGUAGAUCUUAAAGGUUCACUAUUAUAAUUAGAGCAUAGACCAGAAAUUGGGUUUCCUAAAACUACAAUGGCCUCUUUUACACUUGUCGUCAGUUGAAGUGGGUAAGUUGAACAAAAAGAAUUAGGAUCUUCCUUUAAGUUUUCCUUACUUUUACUGGAACCAGUAAAAGAAACUUCACAUCCUUCUCCGACACCAUUCUCUUUACUCGCGGAGGAAAACUCAGCCAAAGGGUUCUUUUUUUCAUCAAUGCCACUGAUAUUCUUUCCACAGAAGCCAUACUCCUCAACUUCAACCAAAUCUUUCAAAUCAUAAUCAAUUCUAUCAACGCCACGAAUUGGGUUCUUGAUAUCACUAAAAGCCACUAUAUUUUCAGCCUUAUCACUUUGCGAAUCUGUAUGUGUAUCACCGUCCUGCAAAUUUUUCCUGAUAAAAGAAUUACUGAUAGUCCUGUUGCACGAAGCAAAUAGAAGCGUUCUCUUCAUCUCUUUGAGAUCUCCAAACGUUGACUUCGCUGCGGAUGAGAGACAAUCUCCAGAAUUGGGCUUGUAGCUAAAAGUUUCACCUUUACCAGAUACCGACUUAUUCUUUCUUUGGUCGUAGCAUAUGAUGUUCGCUUUCUGACCAUUUAGAACUGUUGGUUGACCAACAAAAUCCCAUAACCCGGCAACAGCUGAUAAAAGCCGAGCUGUACUAACUCUAUUGGCAUGCAAUGUAGUUUCUGAUUGCGCACUGCUUUUUGCCUGAGAAUUGCUAGGAGGAAAUGCAUCGGGGUCGAAGGAUCGAAUGUCCAGUGGAAUCCACCAAUAGUUUAUUGACGACUUGUUACUUGUUGAUUUUCGGCGCUGGGACGCCAUUCUCUAAGGCCUUGUGGACAGCUAUUGAAUAUACACUCCAAAUGCAAGGAGAGCUAUGAAUGGUGUCGACCCACCAAAUCUGUAAGUGGUAAAAAUCAUCAAAAGAAAGCAAUUUGAUAGGAAACAGGAGAUUCUAAUGAGAAGAACAAGAGAUUUGGUGUACAGCCCAAAGGUUCAUAACAUAAGAAUGAAACCACCAAAACUCCGACAUGGAAGAUGCCAUUCCCUCUCAGAAACAUUUCAUCAAACAGAAUCCGUGCAUCAGAAUUCAGCAAUAGUGAGCCCACACUAACCUUGUAGAAUCCUCUGGAACUUAACUUACUUCAAAACCAACGAACCCAUCUCCAGAUUCAGGAAAAUAAGACAUGGGUCUUUGACCUCGGCAUGAACUGAAGACACAAAGUGGCGUGCUUUUGGAGUCUCCAAAAAUCCACCUCAUUUAUAAAGGAAAUGGAGUAGAUUUCUCGACCAAAAGCAUCAAAUCUCGAUGCACUCGCUCCGUAAUAAUUCGAUCCCUGGCGCUUUGUUACUUAACGAAUGAUGGCUGUAUUAUGACGCGAUUAGAGAGAAAAGGUAGGGCAUUUUCUUCAUGGAAAGUACCCGGAGAGGAGUACUUGUUGGUCUCCUCCGCUCCGAACCUAUCUCUCCCUCUCGAUCUGGGGAUGCUGCUGCUGCUGCUGCUGCUACUACUACUACGAUGCACGUUUUAAGCUCGUUUGUGUCCGGAAUAAUUCAAAUGAGGAUGGAUGAUGAUGAAUAAUGGAGCCGUGGAACGGUCGAAUGAGUGAGGUGAAUUAUAGGGAGGGAGAGAGAGAGAGACCAACUCACGAAGCUUUGGGUUGGGAAUUGACCGCGUUUUUUUUUACUUACCAGAGUUAAUAGAUCUCGCCGGGGUGUCAACGCGAAAGACUCGGUUUUAAUUCACAGGUGCUCCCAAUCAAUUCUAAGUAUUGUUUGUUUUUCCAAAAAAAAAACUGUGAGUAUUAGUAUUUAGCAAAAAAAUUAAUAAUUGAUAUUCGAGAUUUUAAAUUCAAAUUCUAAUUAUUGUAUAUAUUUAGAUUAAAUUAUUUUAAAAAAAAUAAAUAAUGCGAAUAGUUUGCUAUCUUUCUUUGAGGGAAAAAAAAAAAAAUCCAACUCGAUAUAAAUGAACUAACAAUGCACGUCGUAAGGUACGGUACACACGCAGAAAAAACCAAUUUUAAAAGUGGCUUUGAUGAUUAGUGCAAUAAAGCUAAUGUAGACAUCUAAUUAUUAUUAUUAUUAUUUCUUAUCUAUCAGUCAAUGUAUACUUUGGGACGGAAAAAAAAAAAGGAAUACUCACCGACUGACAAGUGGCAAAGGACUUUGAUGAUUAGUAUUCGAGGUUUCAAAUUCGAAUUCUAAUUGAUUCACAUUUCUAGCUAAGUUUAUUUCUAAAUGAAAUAAAUAAAGUGGGUAGCAUGCUACUUAUCUCUCUUUCAAAAAAAAAAAAAAAAAAAAA